GGAGAUGCUAUACUUCAUGGGAUGUUGGAACAAAAUUAUUUAAAACCUGCUAUGUCGUGUUGUCUUGUUAAGUGCGUCUAUUUUGGAGUCAGUUUUUCCCAUCAUCGAACUUCUGGAUAGUGUCAGCUAGGUGUAUAAGAAUUCUUAUUAUUGUUAUUGUGCACUAAUCUACAAGCAGGGGCGCUUGUCUUUUGCUCGUUUACUUCUGUAUUUGGUUAAGCACUCGUUUACUCUAUUCGAUAUUCCUGAACAUCACUCCCUACCUCGUACUGGUCUCUGAGGGCGCGUACAACAAUCCACCGUGAGUAGACCUAGUAUCUUAGCAUUCGGGGUGCCACAAUCUACAUACAAAAUCGGUAAAUUUUACACUACAAACAGUAUAAUUUUGUCGAAACACGAUCAUAAUUUCCACUGGAGCAUGAAGUAAUCAAGUUACUAGGAUUUGUGAUGAGCUGGAGAGAGAAAAAAGAAAGAGUAGUCUGCUGGUAAACUGGUUGGUUCAAAGAACGAUAGCCAGCUUCUUAAGUCUGUUCUUUUAUUAGUAGCUCAGCGGUCGGUUGUUAACUGACUUGUUGUAGGUUCGUGUCGUACACAUGACAACAAACUCCUGUAGUAUGCUGCCUGCUCUUCAAAACCAAACUUAGCUUGGCGAAGGACACAAUUACAAUUGUCCAAAAGCAAAAUUACAACAUCUACGGCCGGGCGCCUCAAACCGGUCUCAAACGCCCGGACUGACUAGCAUCCCUCAUAUCCGGCACCAUUUUAGGACGGAUAUGAGGCGGCCCGGGAUGCGUCUGCCACGUCGGAUUGAUGUUUGGGUCUCAUACGAAAUCGCUCGGAAACCCAACAAUCCAAUGAGCGUCUGGGCUAUUUAAGCCGGACAUCGACCCCCAGCACUAGGCACAUCCACUUCUCUCGCUCUCCGCGCCGCCAACCCGAUCCGCUCUCUGCUCGAUCUUUGCGACAGCCAUGGCCCGACAGAGGGUGACCACCUACGCUAUGCUAGCGUCGGAGAGGCGCCUCCAGCUGCUAGAGGAGAUUAGGGCUUGGCUCGAAGCCCGGAUUGUAGUCGGCUUGCCUCGGGACUCGUUGGAGCCGAAGGAGGAGCAACAACAAUCGUAGGCGGGGCAGUACCCCCAAACCAUGGAGGGGCAGAUCUGGAGGAGGAGCAGCGACAGUCGGAGUCAGAGUAGUACCCCUAGCCCAUGGAGGGGCGGAUUCGGAGGAGGAGGACGCGGUGGAGCCGGAGGGGGAGGCGGAGCCACCUGUGGGUUUUGCCAUUGAGGAGACCAUGACAGAGUCCGAGGUCGCCCAAGCGGAGGAGGCGGCGGAGCGCCAUCCUGGAGUCCAUCCAGCAGAAGCCUCGGUGGAGGUCAACCGGCGCUUCCAGCGCUUCCUCAGGCAGCAGAGGGUGGAGAUCGACGAAAUCUUCACCUCUAGUGAGUCCCACGACGAGCAGAGGGUGGAGAUUUACUUCACAUCUCACUGAAUGUAUCGACGUGCACACAACCAUAUCAAACCUCAUAUUAAUCCUAGGUUAGCAAGAGUACAUGCACCUCCACUAACCAUAGAAACAAUGCAUGAUUUGUUAUGACAUUUGUUCUAAGAAUACGACACAAUUGAUCACAUAAUAACUUACCAGAUACGAAUGAACUAAUCAGGAAGAACCCAUCCAUUGGCAAAGCGGGGGGGGGGGGCACUGCCCCCAGCCUUUGACCAAAUGGUGAAAGAAAAAAUGAGGAGGGCUCAGGUUUUCUUUAUAAAUGUACCAGGAAAGCAUUUUAACCACGCUUGGCAUUUCAGUUUUAUGGCAAGGAAGAAAACCAGGUAGUAGCAAGGGAGUUGUCUUAACCCGCCGACCAAGUAGCUGUAUAAUAUGUUCAGUGGCUCAGUCAAUGGCUUAUUUCCAAUUGAAAAAAGGAACAUCACAUUAUUCAAACAGAACUGAAUUUCAAGUCAAAUUUAGGACUUCCCUAAAAAAGGACCAAAUGUAGGAGCUUACCACAAAGGCGCUUUGUGAGAAAACAAGUCAAGGAGCGGGUACUACCUGCCAAAAUUCACCGCAUUGAGUGAGUGACAUAAUUCUUUGGAAGUAUCUAAACAAUGGACCUUGCUAGGAAGCAAGUUCUUGCCCUUUAGGUGUAUCCAGCGGCCCCCUAUUUUAGGUAUGUGACACCCUUAGCGAUUCGGUUGGAUAACGAAGGUAUUACUACCAUUUCCUCAAGGUCGCGAUACCGGAGCAGUACCCCCAGGCCAUGGAGGGGAGGAUCCAGAGGGGGAGCAGCGACAGUCGGAGGCGGAGUAGUACCCCCAGCCCAUGGAGGGGCGGAUCUGGAGAAGGAGGACGCGGUGAAGCCGGAGUGGGAGGCGGAGCCGGCUGCGACCUUUGCCAUUGAGGACACCAUGACAAAGUUCGAGGUCACCCAAGUGAAGGACGCGGCGGAGCAGACCCCCAUCCUGGAGUCCAUCCAGCAGAGGCCUCGGUAGAGGUCAACCGGCGCUUCCUCCGACUCCAGAGGGUGGAGAUCGACGAAAUCUUCACCUCUAGUGAGUCCACGAUGAGCCGAAGUUGCCGUAGGCAGCCAUCUACCCGAAGCCUGACACGGAUGUCGUGGACAUCUCGAUGAUGAGUAGCGUAGGGUAGAUAGGAUAUAUACGUAGUACGUUGGUUUUUAUUUUGCAUGGUUUGUAUGGAUUUGAGAUAUAGACUAUGGGGUAUUUAGAUGGAGCAAACAAACUUUGAGAUGUGACCGACAACUUUUUGCAAACGCCCCCAACCUAUGACCAAAUGGUGAAGGAAAAAAUGAGGAGGGUACUGCCUCAGCCUUUGACCAAAUGGUGAAGGAAAAAAUGAGGAGGGCUCAAGUUAAAAAAAUCACACAAUAGAUAUUCUUUUAAACGUACCAGGAAAACAUUUUAACCACGCCUAGCGUUUCAGUUUUAUGGCAAGGACAAUAACCAGGUAAAAAACCCAGGUAGUAGCUAGGGAGUUGUAUUAUACCUGCCAGCAAAUGCCUGCAAAAUAUGUUCGGUGGCUCAUUUCGAAUUGAAAAAAGGAAUAUCCCACUGUUCAAACAUAACUGAAUUUCAACUCAAAUUUAGCACUUCCCUAAAAAAGGACCAAAUGUAGGAGCUUACCACAAAGGCGCUUUGUGAGAAAACAAGUCAAGGAGCGGGUACAACUACCUGCCAAAAUUCACCUCAUUGACUCAGUGACAUAAUUCUUUGAAAGUACCUAACAAUGGACCUUGCUAGGAAGCAAGGGCCUGCCCUUUAGGUGUAUCCAGCGGCCUCCUAUUUUAGGUAUGUGACGCCCUUUGCGAUUCGGUUGGAUAACGAAGGUAUUACUACCAUUUCCUCAAGGUCGCGAUAGCGGAGUAGUACCCUCAAGCCAUGGAGGGGCGGAUCCGGAGGGGGAGUAGUGGCAGUCGGAGGCGGAGUAGUACCCCCAGCCCAUGGAGGGGCGGAUCUGGAGGAGGAGGACGCGGUGGAGCUGGAGUGGAAGGCGGAGCCGGCUGCGGGCUUUGCCAUUGAGGACACCAUGACAGAGUUCGAGGUCGCCCAAGCGGAGGAGGCGGCGGAGCGGAUCGCCAUCCUAGAGUCCAUCCAGCAGAGGCCUCGGUGGAGGUCAACUGGUGCUUCCUCCAGCAGCAGAGGGUGGAGACAGAUGAAAUCUUCACCUCUAGUGAGUCCCACGAUGAGCCGAAGUUGCCACAGGCGGCCAUCUACCGGAAGCCUGACACGGAGGUCAUGGACAUCUCGAUGAUGAGUAGGGUAGGGUAGAUAAGAUACAUACGUAGUACAUUGCUUUUUAUUUUGCAUGAUUUGUAUGAAUUUGAGAUAUAGACUAUAAGGUAUUUGGAUGGAGCAGACGAACUUUGAGAUGUGACCGACAACUGUUCGUAAAUGCCCCCAACCUAUGACCAAAUGGUGAAGGAAAAAAUGAGGAGGGCACUGCCCCCAACCUUUGACCAAAUGGUGAAGGAAAAAAAUGAGGAGGGCUCAGGUAAAAAAGAAUAUCACACAAUAGAUAUUCUUUAUAAACGUACCGGGAAAACAUUUUAACCAUGCCUGGCGUUUCAGUUUUAUGGCAAGGACAAAAACCAGGUAGUAGCAAGGGAGCUGUAUUAAAUCUGCCAGCAAAUGCUUGCAAAAUAUGUUCAGUGGCUCAUUUCCAAUUGAAAAAAAGGAACAUCCCAUUGUUCAAACAGAACUGAAUUUCAACUCAAAAUUAGGACUUUCCUAAAAAAGGACCAAAUGUAGGAGCUUACCACAAAGGCACUUUGUGAGAAAACAAGUCAAGGAGCGGGUACAACUACCUGCCAAAAUUCACCUCAUCGAGUCUGUGACAUAAUUCUUUCAAAAUAUCUAAACAAUGGACCUUGCUAGGAAGCAAGUGCUUGCCCUUUAGGUGUAUUCAACAGCCUCCUAUUUUAGGUAUGUGAGGCCCUUUGCGAUUCGGUUGGAUAAUGAAGGUAUUACUACCAUUUCCUCAAGGCCGCGAUAGUGGACUGCAACCUCUUGAGCUUGCGUUGGUUUUCCCUUGAAGAGGAAAGGGUGAUGCAGCAAAGUAGAGUAAGUAUUUCCCUUAGCUUUUGAGAACCAAGGUAUCAAUCCAGUAGGAGACAACGCGCAAGCCACCGAAUACCUGCACAAACAAACACCAACUUGCACCCAACGCGAUAAAGGGGUUAUCAAUCCCUUCACGGUUAUUUGCAACGUGAGAUCUGAUAGAGAUGGAUAAACGGUAAAGUAAUAUUUUUGGUAUUUUUGGUUUAUGGAACGAAAAGUAAAAGAUUGCAAAGAAAGUAAAUAGGAAACUAAAAUUAUAGAUCGGAAACUUAUAUGAUGGAAAAUAGACCCGGGGGCCAUAGGUUUCACUAGAGGCUUCUCUCAAGAUAGAAAUUAUUACGGUGGGUGAACAAAUUACUGCCGAGCAAUUGAUAGAAAAACGCAAAGUUAUGACGAUAUCUAAGGCAAUGAUCAUGAACAUAGGCAUCACGUCCGUAUCAAGUAGACUGACUCCUUCCUGUAUCUACUACUAUUACUCCACACAUCGACCGCCAUCCAGCAUGCAUCUAGAGUAUUAAGUUCAUAAAGAACGGAGUAACGCCUUAAGCAAGAUGACAUGAUGUAGAGGAAUUAACUCAAGCAAUAUGAUGAAAACCCCAUGUUUUUAUCCUCGAUGGCAAGAAUACAAUACGUGUCGGUUCCCCUUCUGUCACUAGGAUCGAGUACCGCAAGAUUGAACCCAAAGCUAAGCACUUCUCCCAUUGCAAGAAAAGCCAAUCUAGUUGGCCAAACCAAAUCGAUAGUUCGAAGAGACUUGCAAAUAUAUCAAAUCAUGCAUAUAAGAAUUCAGAGAAGAUUCAAAUAAUAUUCAUAAAUAAGCUGAUCAUAAAUCCACAAUUCAUCGGAUCUCGGCAAACACACCGCAAAAGAGUAUUACAUCGAAUAGAUCUCCAAGAACAUCGAGGAGAACUUUGUAUCGAGAAUCAAAGAGAGAGAAGAAGCAAUCUAGCUACUAGCUAUGGACCCGUAGGUCUGUGGUAAACUACUCACGCUUCAUCGGAGAGGCAAUGAUGUUGAUGUAGAAGCCCUCCGUGAUCGAAUCCCCCUCCGGCAGGAUGCCGGAAAAGGCCCCUAGAUGGGAUCUCACGGGUACAGAAGGUUGCGGCGGUGGAAAAGUGGUUUCUUGGCUCCCCUGGAAGUUUUUGGGAUAUUUGAGAAUAUAUAGGAGGAAGAUCUAGGUCAGGGGGUCACCGAGGGGCCCACAAGGUCGGGGGGCGCGCCCUCCACCCUUGUGGCCGCCUCGUGGCUCUUCUAACUUGCACUCCAAGUCUCCUGGGUGUCUUCUGGUCCAAGAAAAAUCAUCACGAAAGUUUUAUUCUGUUUGGACUCUGUUUGGUAUUCCUUUUCUGCGAAACUCUAAAACAAGGAAAAAAACAUGAACUGGCAUUGGGCUCUAGGUUAAUAGGUUAGUCCCAAAAAUCAUAUAAAAUAGCAUAUUAAUGCAUAUAAAACAUCCAAAACAGAUAAUAUAAUAGCAUGGAACAAUAAAAAAUUGUUGAUACGUUGGAGACGUAUCAAGCAUCCCCAAGCUUAAUUCCUGCUCGUCCUCGAGUAGGUAAAUGAUAAAGAUAGAAUUUUUGAUGUGGAAUGCUACCUAACAUAUUUAUCCAUGUAAUUAUCUUUAUUGUGGCAUGAAUGUUCAGAUCCGUAAGAUUCAAAACAAAAUUUUAAUAUUGACAUAAAAACAAUAAUACUUCAAGCAUACUAGCAAAAUAAUUAUGUCUUCUCAAAAUAACAUGGCCAAAGAAAGCUUAUCCCUACAAAAUCAUAUUGUCUGGCUAUGCUCCAUCUUCAUCACACAGAAUAUUCAAAUCAUGCACAACCCCGAUGACAAGCCAAGCAAUUGUUUCAUACUUUUGAUGUUCUGAAACUUUUUCAACUUUCACGCAAUACAUGAGCGUGAGCCAUGGACAUAGCACUAUAGGUGGAAUAGACAAUGGUUGUGGAGAAGACAAAAGGAAGGAGAUAGUCUCACAUCAACUAGGCAUAUCAACGGGCUAUGGAGAUGCCCAUUAAUAGAUAUCAAUGUGAGUGAGUAGGGAUUGCCAUGCAACGGAUGCACUAGAGCUAUAAGUUUAUGAAAGCUCAAAAGAAAACUAAGUGGGUGUGCAUCCAACUUGCUUGCUCACGAAGACCUAGGGCAUUUUGAGGAAGCCCGUCAUUGGAAUAUACAAGCCAAGUUCUAUAAUUAAAAAUUCCCAUUAGUAUAUGAAAGUGAUAUCAUAGGAGGCUCUCUAUCAUGAAGAUCAUGGUGCUACUUUGAAGCACAAGUGUGGUAAAAGGAUAGUAGCAUUGCCCCUUCUCUCUUUUCUCUCAUUUUUUUAUUUGGGCCUUCUUUAUUUUUUGGCCUGUUUUUUUCGUCCGGAGUCUCAUCCCGGCUUGUGGGGGAAUCAUAGUCUCCAUCAUCCUUUCCUCACAUGGGACAAUGCUCUAACAAUGAAGAUCAUCACACUUUUAUUUAGUUACAACUCAAAAAUUACAAGUCGAUACUUAGAACAAAAUAUGACUAUAUGUAUGCCUCCGGCGGUGUACCGGGAUGUGCAAUGAAUCAAGAGCGACAUGUAUAAAAAAUGAUGAACGGUGGCUUUGCCACAAAUACGAUAUCAACUACAUGAUCAUGCAAAGCAAUAUGACAAUGAUGAAGCGUGUCAUAAUAAACGGACCGGUGGAAAGUUGCAUGUUAAUAUAUCUCGGAAUGUGGAAAUGCCAUAAUAGGUAGGUAUGGUGGCUGUUUUGAGGAAGGUAUAAGGUGGGUGUAUGGUACCGACGAAAGUUGCGCGGUACUAGAGAGGCCAGCAAUGGCAAAAAGGUGAGAGUGCGUAUAAUCCAUGGACUCAACAUUAGUCAGAAAGAACUCACAUACUUAUUGCAAAAAUCUAUUAGUCAUCGAGACAAAGUACUACGCGCAUGCUCCUAGGAGGAUAUAUUGGUAGGAAAAGACGAUCGCUCGUCCCCAACCGCCACUCAUAAGGAAGACAAUCAAUAAAUAAAUCAUGCUCUGACUUCAUCACAUAACGGUUCACCAUACGUGCAUGCUACGGGACUCACAAACUUUAACACAAGUAAUGCUCAAAUUCACAACUACUCACUAGCAUGACUCUAAUAUCACCAUCUUCAUAUCUCAAAACAAUCAUAAGGAAUCAAACUUCUCAUAGUAUUCAAUGCACUUUAUAUAAAAGUUUUUAUUAUAUCCCUCUUGGAUGCCUAUCAUAUUAGGACUAAUUUUAUAACCAAAGCAAAUUACCAUGUUGUUUAGAGACUCUCAAAAUAAUAUAAGUGAAGUGCGAGAGUUCAUCAAUUUCUAUAAAAUAAAACCAUCGCCAUGCUCUAAAAAGAUAUAAGUGAAGUACUAGAGCAAAUUUGCCUAGCUCAAAAGAUAUAAGUGAAGCACAUAGAGUAUUCUAAUAAAUCACGAUUCAUGCGUGUCUCUCCCAAAAGGUGUGUACAACAAGGAUGAUUGUGGUAAACUAAAAAACAAAGACUCAAAUCAUACAAGACGCUCCAAGCAAAACACAUAUCAUGUGGUGUAGAAAAAUAUAGCCUCAAGUAAAGUUACCGAUAGACGAAGACGAAAGAGGGGAUGCCUUCCGGGGCAUCCCCAAACUUAGGCUCUUGGUUGUCCUUGAAUAUUACCUUGGGGUGCCUUGGGCAUCCCCAAGCUUAGGCACUUGCCACUCACUACUGGAAUCAGGAUCUUUGCUGUCAGCCUGUUCUUUUCUGCCCGCUAGCUAACGGCAAAGAAGGUCUUUGCCAUAUGCAUACACAAGGCUGACGACAAAGAACAAGCGGACGACAAAGAGCUUGUUUUCCGUCAGCAAGCUCUUUGCCGUCCACUAGCAGACGCCAUAGAAGCUUUGCCGUCUGCUAGCGGACGACAAAGAGGGAGGGUGGCCCACUUGUUGUCAACCCCUAACGGGGCCCCUCUUUGCCGUCCACUAGCAGACGGCAAAGUUUUCUAUGCCGUCCGCUAGAUGACGGCAAAGAGCUUGCGGACGACAAAGCUUGAAAAUUGACUUAACGGCCGUGCCCCGCCAUCGCCCUCUCUCUCUGUCUCUCUUCUCUUUCUUCCACCCGUGCCACCCCGCGUCGUCGCCGCUGCACCCUCCCCGCGCUGUCGCCGCACCCUCCCCGCCCCGUGNNNNNNNNNNNNNNNNNNNNNNNNNNNNNNNNNNNNNNNNNNNNNNNNNNNNNNNNNNNNNNNNNNNNNNNNNNNNNNNNNNNNNNNNNNNNNNNNNNNNNNNNNNNNNNNNNNNNNNNNNNNNNNNNNNNNNNNNNNNNNNNNNNNNNNNNNNNNNNNNNNNNNNNNNNNNNNNNNNNNNNNNNNNNNNNNNNNNNNNNNNNNNNNNNNNNNNNNNNNNNNNNNNNNNNNNNNNNNNNNNNNNNNNNNNNNNNNNNNNNNNNNNNNNNNNNNNNNNNNNNNNNNNNNNNNNNNNNNNNNNNNNNNNNNNNNNNNNNNNNNNNNNNNNNNNNNNNNNNNNNNNNNNNNNNNNNNNNNNNNNNNNNNNNNNNNNNNNNNNNNNNNNNNNNNNNNNNNNNNNNNNNNNNNNNNNNNNNNNNNNNNNNNNNNNNNNNNNNNNNNNNNNNNNNNNNNNNNNNNNNNNNNNNNNNNNAGCCCCUGCCCCUGUUUUCUUUUAUGUUUUUUUUCUAUUUUUCUUUUCUGUUUAGUUUAGGUUAUUUAGUUUAAGUUUUUUUAGUUUAGGUUAUUUAGUUUAAUUAGUUUAGGUUAUUUAGUUUAAAUAGUUUAGGUUUAAUUAGUUUAGGUUAUUUAGUUUAGGUUUAGGUUUAGGUUUAAUUAGUUUAGGUUUAAUUAUAUUAGAUUAGUGUUAGGUUUGAGUUAAAUAGUCAUAAUUAAAGGAACUGAAAAAAAAGAUGAAAAAAAGAAGAAAAGUAGAAUAAGUAGAAAGGGGGAAGAAAAAGAGGAAGAAGAAGAAGAAGAAGAGGAGGAGGAGGAGGGAAGAAGAAAAUGAGGAGAAGAUGACUAGGUUAGUUAGGUUAGUUUGAUUUUCUAGGUUAGUUAUCUUUAGACUAGGUUAGUUAGGUUAGUUAGGUUAAUUAGUUUGAGGGGUUUUGGUGAUGUCAUCUUGUUCUCCAAGAGAUGAUACUUGGCAAGAUAAUCAAAUAUGGCAUUUUUUACAUGCUAGAAUUUUCUUGGAAUUUAUAGAGAAUAUUUCCUAUGUAAAUAUUCCAAAUGAUUGAAAUAUCAGAAAAGGGUUUUUGAUGGAUUUGACCAAUAUUUUGAAACACUAAAAUAAUUUUAACCUAUUAAAGACCAUUUCUGGCCUUAAGAAAAAGCCUUUAAUUAGUUAGUUAGUUAUUUUUUAGGUUAGUUACUUAGUUAGUUAGUUAAUUUUUUAGGUGUUGUUUUCACCCACCAAUUUUUUUGUAUGUUUAUGUUGUACUAAUUUUGUUUACUCUUUGUCAUUACAGGUGUUGAUAGAUGGUGGGCGCGGGUCGAGAGCGCUCCGAGCCUCCUUCUUCCUAUGCGCGUGCUGGGGGGGUGGCUAUAUUCCACCCCAGCAACUUUGUAGAGUGCUCGUAGACAACAUGGCGACACCGGCGGACCCUUCUUCUUCGGCCGGGAGAGGUCGGGGGAAGAUGAAGAGGGGAUCUAGAGGUGGACGUGGCGGCGGGAGAGGUAGGAAGGCUGUUGUGCCUUCCUUGCUGCCAUCCAAAGCUGAUUCUCUGGACCACCGGAGUGCUCCGUCUCAGGUGGAGCCGUCAGACUUGGACCCGUCUCGGACUCCGGUCCAUGAGCCUCGGGCUGACGAGCCUCGUGUCACCGAGCCUUCGUCCCAGGAGACUCAGGCCCCAGAGUCUUCGUCCCACGAGACUCCGGUCCCAGAGUCUUCGUCCGAGGUGACUCCGGAGACUAGUGGCCACGCUGAUGGCGAGGAGACCUGGUCUGACGAUAGUUUUAGCAAUGGCGAGCUGGUUGAGCAGGGCAAGAAGGUCUACCAGCAUGGUGGUACGAAGCUCCCGGCCGUGCCGGCGACCCGUGAUCAGAGGUGGUUGAUUCAGCCUAACGGGGAGAAAUAAGUGCAUUUACUCUAUUUUAACCUUUGUUCUGCAUGUUUCUUCAAAUUAAUAUCUAAUGUGUUGGCCUUGUCAUACUGCAGGGGUUGGAUACACCCCGAUGGUGUCCGUAGGCCCAACCAGCUCCUUGGUACUCUAGUCCGGCACCACUUCAGGGGUGGGUCACGUUGCCCAGUGAGGGUCAGGCUCCACAGCUAGCAAUGAGCUGGGAGUUGUACGUGGCUGCCCCGGCCCCGCCAGAGGAGAGGGUCGACAGUGUCGUGUGCGAGGCGGUGGCCGACAUUGUGAGGCAGCGGUUUUGGGUAAUUUCUACUUUACAGAAUUAAAAAUCAACAUUACCUAGUGAUUGUACUAAUCAGUGUUGUCUUGUUCAAUUGCAGACCUUCUACAGGGUUGCUGAGGAACACGAGGCGGAGGCGGCUAGGGUUCUCGAAGCCGAGUGCAAGCGCCUACUUCAGAACUUACGGCACAAGGCUAGGGUGCAGGCUGUUCGAGACUACUACGCCUCGACUAACAUUAGGAGGGCCAAGAAGAAGUGCUGCGCGCAAGUAUCUGAGCAAGGAGAAGUACAUGAAGGUAAUUACCUAUUCUUAAGGCCUUGUACUUAGUUUCCUUGAUUUCAUUCGUAGGCGUAGCGCUGAAAUUUCUCUUUGCCAAACUUAGGUGCCCCCAAGAUGGUGUGCGGAUAAGAUGGACUGUUGGGAGGCGUUGGUGGAUGAGUGGUUCUCUCCCCAAUGGCUAGCCGAACACAACAAGGCCAGGGAUAAGCGUUCCCAAAUGCGAGGUGUGCCACACCAUCAAGGGAGCUCGAACCUGUUUGAGUACGGGGAUCACCGGGUAUGUGGUUUCAUCCCUUAACGAUUCAUGCAAUUUCAUUCUUCAUGCUAGCUUCAGCCCUUAACUAAUAUGUUGUUCCUCUCUUUUAGGCUAAACACAACAAGAAGGAACUGCCACCACUGUACGACCUCUAUGCCAUGGCCCAUAUGGCCCCGUUCAAGAAGGCCAAGGCAUUCUCUGAGGAUGACCUCGAUCAUCCAGAGAGCUUCACCAACAUCUCCUCCCACAACAAGCUCGUGAGGUACAGAGACUUUGGAAGGCAACGAAAGGGGAUGACUUCAACCCGAGCCAGAGUCCUUUUGAUACAGAGCUCGUGAUGCUAUCUGGUGAUGGGAGAAAACAUGGCUUGGUAGCCAUUGGGGAUGGACUGAUACGGCGUCCUAGUAGUCUCCCGGAGAUCAAGAAGCGCCACGCGAGAUCUCUUCCUGACAUACUGCCUCGACCACAGCCAGUGGACCUCACCAUUGAUGCUAGGGCCCAGGAGCUUCUGGCGGAGGCAAACAUGUAGGCCAAGGAGAGGGAGACCGAGCUGGAGCAGAGGACGGCUAGGAUGCUGCAGGAGGAGAGGAACCGCGUCUCACCGAGCCCUAUACGAGCUCUUCGUGGUAAGUUUCUCCUGCUUAUUAGCCAAAUCAUGCAUGUAAUGUUCGUUUCAUUACUAACUAAUAUGACUGACUCAUGAAAUCAAAAUGUGCAGUCCAUGUGCGAGAAAAACGGUCAGACCCCUCCGCCGAUGCCUCAGAUUGGUAUAGCGGACACGGUGAGUUUCAUUUGAAUGGUCAUUAGUUACUAGUAUUCACAUUUCAGUUGCAUCAUGCUAACGAGACAUUGCAAAUGAUCUUUGGUGCAGCAUGCCUCCUGACAAGCAUCGACCGAUCCUUCUCCAUCUCGCACUGGUGCAAGCCCGACCGGUCCUUCUCCGUAUGACACUGGCGUAAACCCGACCGGCCCUUCACCUCCGUGAUGACGGUAACAUUUCUCUAGUGUUUUGCCUACCAAAUGCAUAAAGACCUAGACUUAGCUUUAUUUCCUCCUAAAUGGUUACCAUAAUGACAUAGACUUAGCCAAUCUUCCUACAAAAUGACAUAAUUAGCUUACUUAGCUCCAAAAUGAUCUAUACUUAACUAAAUUAGCUCUAAUAUGCUUAUUUACCUAGGUUAGCUAAAUAAAGACCUAUACUUAGAUUACUUAUGUCAAAAAUGGCAUAAUAUGCUUAGUUAACGCAUAAUUAGUUAAAUUAGCUCCAAAAUGACCCAUUUUACCUAGGUUUGCUCCAAUAUGAUCCAUUUUACCUAGGUUAGCUCCAAAAUGAGCAAGUUUACCUAGGUUAGCUCCAAUAUGAUCCAUUUUACCUACGUUAGCUCCAAUAUGAUCCAUUUUAGCUAGGUUAGCUCCAAAAUAAUCCAUUCUACCUACGUUAGCUCAAAAAUGGCAUAAUCACUUAUGUUAGCACAAAAAUGACCUACACUUACCUUAAUUUCCUCCAAAUUGACAUAAUAAGCUUAGUUAGCUAAAAAAUGGCAUAAUUACCUAUGUAAGCUCUAAAAUGACACAAAUAAGGAAUAAGAAGAAGAAAAACAAGGAAGAGGAGAAAAAGAAAGAAUAAUAGAAGAAGAAAGAAUAAAAGAAGAAGAAAGAAUAAAAGAAGAAGAAUGAGAAGGAAAAGGGUAAAAAUCUUCUUCUUCUUGCUUACUCCCAUUUUUGCAGAUUUGAUUCACUUCAUGGAAGCUGGUUUGAUGGACUGCUAGUUUUAAUUUCUGUUUUGAUUUUGUGUUGAUAAACAAUCUAUGUCGAAUAACUCCGUGAAACUAUGUAUGUAUGUUGAUGAACUCCGUGAAACUAUGUAUGUAUUGGACUUUUUAAUACCCUAUGUGUUCUGUUGCAUUGAUGGACUGCUAGAUGAUGGAUACAUGGGCUAUGUGUGAGGUUGAAACUAUAUAUAUAUAAUUUAUGUCUUUUGAAAAUGCAAGGAUAUAACAAAAAACAGAAAAAACAGGGGCUAUAUAGGCUCUUUGCCGUCGGCUGGCAGGCAACAAAGAGCUUUGCCAUCAGCCAGCAGACGGCAAAGCUGCCACGUGGCAGCUACCUGUACAACCUGGGGCACUGGCUGGCCUAUUUGGUUAUUUUGCCGUCCGCUGGCAGAUGGCAAAGAGCGUUGCACCUUUGCCGUCUGCCAACGGACGACAUAGCUUGACACAUGGCAGUACCUGGGGGAAAUGGUUCUAAAUUCAAUGUGAUCGCCGUCGGCACGCUACCUUUACAUCUACCAUCGGGAUUAGUUUUAGACCUGAAUAAUUGUUAUUUGGUGCCAGCGUUAAGCAUGAACAUUAUAUCUGGAUCUUGUUUGAUGCGAGACGGUUAUUCAUUUAAAUAAGAGAAUAAUGGUUGUUCUAUUUAUAUGAGUAAUAUGUUUUAUGGUCAUGCACCCUUGAUGAGUGGUCUAUUCUUGUUGAAUCUCGAUUGUAGUGAUACACAUAUUCAUAAAAGCCAAAAGAUGCAAGGUUAAUAAUGACAGUGCAACUUAUUUUUCGCACUGCCGUUUAGGUCAUAUUGCUGUAAAGCGCAUGAAGAAACUCCAUGCUGAUGGGCUUUUGGAAUCACUUGAUGCUUGCGAACCAUGCCUCAUGGGCAAGAUGACUAAGACUCCGUUCUCCGGAACAAUGGAGCGAGCAAUAGACUUAUUGGAAAUAAUACAUACUGAUGUAUGCGGUCCGAUGAGUGUUGAGGCUCGCGGCGGGUAUCGUUAUUUUCUAACCUUCACAGAUGAUUUGAGCAGAUAUGGGUAUAUCUACUUGAUGAAACAUAAGUCUGAAACAUUUGAAAACUUCAAAGAAUUUAGAGUGAACUGGAAGAUCAUCGUAACAAGAAAAUUAAGUUUCUACGAUUUAAUUGUGGAGGUGAAUAUUUGAGUUAUGAUUUUGGUCUUCGUUUGAAACAAUGUGGAAUAGUUUCGCAACUCACGCCACCCGGAACACCACAGCGUAAUGGUGUGUCCGAACGUCGUAGACGCACUUUAUUAGAUAUGGUGCGAUGUAUGAUGUCUCCUACUGAUUUGCCACUAUCGUUUUGGGGUUAUGCUUUAGAGAUGGCUGCAUUCACGUUAAAUAGGGCACCAUCUAAAUCCGUUGGGACGACACCAUAUGAACUGUGGUUUGGCAAGAAACCCAAGUUGUCGUUUCUUAAAGUUUGGGGCUGCGAUGCUUAUGUGAAAAAGCUUCAACCUGAUAAGCUCGAACCCAAAUCGGAGAAAUGUAUCUUCAUAGGAUACCCAAAGGAGUCUGUUGGGUACACCUUCUAUCACAGAUCCGAAGGCAAGGUAUUCGUUGCUAAGAAUGGAUCCUUUCUAGAGAAGGAGUUUCUCUCAAAAGAAGUGAGUGGGAGGAAAUUAGAACUUGAUGAGGUAAUUGUACCUGCUGCUGAAUUGGAAAGUAGUUCAUCACAGAAAUCAGUUCCAGUGAUUCCUACACCAAUCAGUGAGGAAGCAAAUGAUGAUGAUCAUGAAACUUCAGAUCAAGUUACUACUGAACCUCGUAGGUCAACCAGAGUAAGAUCCGCACCAGUGUGGUACGGUAAUCCUGUUCUGGAGGUCAUGUUACUUGACCAUGGCGAACCUACGAACUAUGAGGAAGCGAUGAUGAGCCCUGAUUCCGCGAAAUGGUUUGAGGCCAUGAAAUCUGAGAUGGGAUCCAUGUAUGAGAACAAAGUGUGGACUUUGGUUGACUUGCCCGAUGAUCGGCAAGCCAUAUGAGAAUAAAUGGAUCUUCAAGAAGAAGACUGACGCUGACGGUAAUGUUACUAUCUACAAAGCUCGACUUGUUGCGAAAGAUUUUCGACAAGUUCAAGGAGUUGACUACGAUGAGACCUUCUCACCUGUAGCAAUGCUUAAGUCAGUCCGAAUCAUGUUAGCAAUUGCCGCAUUUUAUGAUUAUCAAAUUUGGCAAAUGGAUGUCAAAACUGCAUUCCUUAAUGGAUAUCUUAAAGAAGAGUUGUAUAUGAUGCAACCAAAAGGUUUUGUCGAUCCUAAAGGUGCUAACAAAGUGUGCAAGCUCCAGCGAUCCAUUUAUGGACUGGUGCAAGCCUCUCGGAGUUGGAAUAUAUGCUUUGAUAGUGUGAUCAAAGCAUAUGGUUUUAUACAGACUUUUGGAGAAGCCUGUAUUUACAAGAAAGUGAGUGGGAGCUCUGUAGCAUUUAUGAUAUUAUAUGUAGAUGACAUAUUGUUGAUCAGAAAUGAUAUUGAAUUUCUGAAUAGCACAAAAGGAUACUUGAAUAAGAAUUUUUCAAUGAAAGACCUCGAUGAAGCUGCUUAUAUAUUGGGCAUCAAGAUCUAUAGAGAUAGAUCAGGACGCUUAAUUGGACUUUCACAAAGCAUAUACCUUGAUAAAGUUUUGAAGAAUUUCAAAAUGGAUCAGUCAAAGAAAGGGUUCUUGCCUGUGUUACAAGGUGUGAAGUUGAGUCAGACUCAAUGCCCAACCAUUGCAGAAGAUAGAGAGAAAAUGAAAGUCAUUCCCUAUGCCUUAGCCAUAGGUUCUAUCAUGUAUGCAAUGCUGUGUACCAGACCUGAUGUGUGCCUUGCUAUUAGUUUAGCAGGGAGGUACCAAAGUAAUCCAGGAGUGGAUCACUAGACAACGGUAAGGAACAUCCUGAAAUAUCUAAAAAGGACUAAGGAUAUGUUUCUCGUUUAUGGAGGUGACAAAGAGCUCAUCGUAAAUGGUUACAUCGAUGCAAGCUUUGACACUGACCCGGAUGACUCUAAGUCACAAACUGGAGACAUAUUUAUAUUGAAUGGUGGAGCUGUCAGUUGGUGCAGUUCCAAACAAAGCAUCGUGGCGGGAUCUACGUGUGAAGCGGAGUACAUAGCUGCUUCGGAAGAAGAAAGGAGUCUGGAUGAAUGAGUUCAUAUUUGAUCUAGGUGUAAUACCUAGUGCAUCGGGUCCAAUGAAAAUGUUUUAUGACAAUACUGGAGCAAUUGCCUUGGCGAAGGAAUCCAGAUUUCACAAGAGAACCAAACACAUCAAGAGACGCUUCAAUUCCAUCCGCGAUCAAGUCAAGGAGGAAGACAUAGAGAUUUGCAAAAUAUAUACGGAUCUGAAUAUUGCAGACCCGUUGACUAAGCCUCUCUCACGAGCAAAACAUGAUCAACACCAAGACUCCAUGGGUGUUAGAAUCAUUACUAUGUAAUCUAGAUUAUUGACUCUAGUGCAAGUGGGAGACUGAAGGAAAUAUGCCCUAGAGGCAAUAAUAAAGUCGUUAUUUAUAUUUCCUUAUAUCAUGAUAAAUGUUUAUUAUUCAUGCUAGAAUUGUAUUCUUAGUACAUGUGUGAAUACAUAGACAAACAGCGUGUCCCUAGUAUGCCUCUACUUGACUAGCUCGUUAAUCAAAGAUGGUUAAGUUUCCUAGCCAUAGACAUGUGUCGUCAUUUGAUGAACGGGAUCACAUCAUUCGAGAAUGAUGUGAUGGACAAGACCCAUCCAUUAGCUUAGCAUUAAUGAUCGGUUAGUUUUAUUUCUAUUGCUUUCAUCGUGACUUAUACAUGUUCCUCUGACUAUGAGAUUGUGCAACUCCCGAAUACCGGAGGAACACUUUGUGUGCUAUCAAACGUCACAAUGUAACAGGUGAUUAUAAAGAUGCUCUACAGGUGUCUCCGAUGGUGUUUGUUGAGUUGGCAUAGAUCGAGAUUAGGAUUUGUCACUCAGUGUAUUGGAGAGGUAUCUCCGGGCCCUCUCAGUAAUCACUGAUACGCGUCGGUCCUAAACAAAUGGUUUUUAUCCCCUUUCCGCGAUGGCAUUUGGAACUGUCGCCAAGUGAGUGUGUGCGAUAGUGUGUCCUUCCCACACGACCCAGAAAUUGUCGGGGAUAGGCCCUCCCGGGACCCAAGCUGGGGCCGUGUGCGAUCGGGCGAGGCAUCGAAACCCAAUCAUUUCCGUAGGUAUGUACAUCCCACACGGUAAUCUGAGAAAAUCAUUUCCGUAGGUAUGUACAUCCCACAUAGUGAAUCCCAGAAAAUCAUUUCCGUUCGUAUGUAUAUCACACACAGUCAAUCCAAGGAAUACGUUUCUGUUCUUAUGUACAUCCCACAUAGUCAAUGCAGGGAAAACGUUCCGUUCGGACGUACAUCCCACACAAUUUUAUGUGUAGGCUUGUGUGAAAGGUGUAACUAUCACACACGGUCUUCCUUGGUUAACUGUUUGCUUUUAUCAACUAUAUCACACACGAUUUGAUGAAGAAAACCGUGUGGCAUUGGGCUAUCCAUCGCAAGUGCUUUUACUGCUAGAAACGUUUGCAAAGGUCCAUGACACAUUUAGCAGGUUUAUUAGUUUACAAUUAAUAAUUCCAGUAUUACGCAAAUUCAUAUUUCAUAUCGAACAACUGCUUGCCAAUUUCAUAUCAGGCACAUAAAUAUAUUAUAACAUCACAGUACGGUAGCUACAUGAAAACAACACAUUACAACAUUAGCUAGUUCAACUUCAUAAGAACAAUAUAUUCAUUUCCCUAAUUGAGGUCAUCCAGGCUCGUCUUAUCCACCUUGCUUUCAGUUCAGUAAGAACCCGUUUUGCACGGGCCAACUGGGAAAGUGCCUCCUCCUUCGCCAACACCAUCUUAGCAAAGUCUGAUUUUAAAAAUCUGAGCUCAUUCUCCACCUUCAACUUUUUAUCCCGCAUCUUGAAAUAUGCUUCAGUGUUGACAAGACUUUCUCUAAGCCUACGUGUGUUCUCUUCCUCAUACAUGCUCCAGAGCUUCGCUAGGCACAUCUUCAAAGACUGUGGCCACUCUUGAUCAACCCACUCUAUGUAAGAACACUCCCGUUCAUCCUAUAAUAUUUAAAACUAGAUCAGUAACAAUUGUAAGGGAAAUGGGUUUAUAGCAACAUAGAAAAUCACCAAUGCUUAUUUUGAAAAACUGAAGAAACAUGUUAAUUAUGACAUAUCUUCUCAAAAAGAUCAAUGUGCAAAUGAAAUAAUUAGUACUGAGACAACAACCAAAUUCUGGAACAUCAGAAGCUAUAAUUAACUGCAACGACGCUACAAGUUCUUACUCAUGUACAAUAAAUAACAAAUUGAACAUUUUAUGAGGAAGGUAAAUAUAACUGCAACAACAUAGUGACAGUGUUUGGAUGACAUCAAAUUGAUACUAACAGGUGUGUACAUGCACACAUUUAGUAACAUAGAACUAAUAGCACUAAGGCCGUCCACUAUGUAUGCCAAAACUGGGGUAAAGACAACUGUUGCUACAUCUCGCACAGAUGCCCUGCACUGGCGAGCCGAUGUAGCGGAAAAAAAAUCAGGGACCCGGACUCUAGAGCACGUAGUUGCUCCGAUGCCCAGUUCCUUCGUGCCAUAAAGAUUUAGUAUUUUACUGCUUGGCUGCUCGGAUGUGUGGACGAAAGUUGGCUGCACAAACUGCAGAAGCGGUGCCAAAUAAUUUUCUAAUGGCACCGCUGAUGAGAUGGCAACAAUUUAAGAUACUAGGUAUAAACUGUGACACUGUCUUAGGAUGCGUUUGGUUGAAGGUGUGGUAUGAAUGGGUUGGGGCCGUGACAGUGUCUGAAUCACAUCUAACAAAUGAUUCAUAACAACGAAAGAGGGUCUAACCUUCUCUGCACAUGCCAGAAACUUCCUCCUACCGUCCACAGAAUCAAACACAACUAGCUUCACGCAUGGAGAUUGAUGGUGACAACGAGCAGAUAGAUCUUCAGCCACCCCGCUCCAUUCAUUGCCACUGAUGGUCCCAGGGAGCUACAAGAGAAAGAAAUGACUCAAAUCGACCGCCGGGUAAAAUCCUUCAUUCCAGUUCAUAGCCCGAGAGAGAGAAGAGAGGCAUACCCCAGUGGUGAAGGAGUAGUCGCCGGAGGAGGAACCGCUGGAGAGGUCGUUGAAGAAGGCCAUGGCGACCCCGGCGGUAGGAUGCGAGACGGCGAGAGCGAGGAAGCGGCUAUAGCUUAGCAAGGAAGGAAGGAAGGAGGAAAUACGGGAAAUGUAACUUGUGGUCGGGGAGAAAAGGGGGUGGGGAAGGGGGGCGGGGGUAGAUAUUUUGGCGGUAGGCCAAAAUUUUGGAAAUGUGGAGGGAAACUUUGCGCGCGGUGCCGCCGGACCAUUCACUUUGAACGAUUGUGUACAUCGCAAACGAUUCUUCUGCUUUACGCGCAUGGGAUGAGUUUGAUAAUUCAAAUUUUGGUGGAAAUUUCCGCGGGUACGUCAUUGCAUAAUUUAACAUCGCUUCCUAAUUUGGGCACACAAAAGAGCGUACAGCAGACAGACCACACUUACCGAAUAGAGCAAUUUUAGUACUUACACAGAGCCAGUUGACCUAAACAUUGCUCUAACAAAAGACCAGCAUUAAAAACAAAGCCUAAGUACGCAUAAUUUUAACAAAUCCGUCGCCGCGCCGGCCUAUGCAUCGCCGGUGUGAGAUGAGACGUCGAUGACUUGUCCUGGCGACAUGCCGCCGUUGGUGGACUCCGCGUUCCCCCUGCUGAAGUCGACCACGUCCUCGUCCUUGGCGCCGCCCUCAAGGUUGUAGUACUCGUAGUAGUGGCUCCACCAAAGCUCGCGUUGGUACUCCACCGCCGAUUCCUCGACGGACAGACUCUUCUCUACCUCGACCUCGGCCACGCGCAACUCCUCCUCCCGGCGCUCCUCGAUCUCCGCCGCCUCCUGCAUCUCCAGCUCUCGCUCGGUGACCUCAUGAGGAAGCAGGUGCUCCAUAGCCACCGCCGCCUUUUUAGAUGUGGGUUACAUGCUGGAGUCCGAGGUGGCUUGGAAUAUCUUGGCGUGUGCGUCCUCGAUCUUGGCGUGGAUGGCCUCGACCCGGGCUAGGGCGACAUCAGCGACACGGAGGGCAGCUCGAGCACUGUCGGCGUUUGCAGCCGCCGUAGCAGCAGCUGCAGCCGUCUCGGCUGCUGCAGCUGCCCUGUCAGCUGCCGCAGAUGCCCUCUCGACGGAAGCGGGCGCGCUCAAUGCGGAUGCGGCGCCACUCUUGGCGUAGGCGGCCGCGCUCUCGGCGCACGCGGCGACGCUUGGGCGGGACGCGUCCAUCGUACGGGCCUUCAUGAAGCGUUUCCACGGCAUCAUCUUUGCAAGAAGGGGUGCAGAAAUGGGGAUCGGGAUUCGUGGAUUCGGGGGUUGCCGGCACUAAAGCAGACGAGCCGGCGAAGCUUAAGGAGGGAGACUUAAAUAGAUCCAGAUAUUUUCAUCGCAAACGGUUCCUAGAAAACAACUGUGUGUGAUGUUGUAGAUAUUUUUAUUAGCUGUGAAAGACGAAUUUGGAGUAAAGUGCCAACGGAUGGUGUUUUAAAUGAAUGAGAAAUUUGGUAGUACUAAUACAACUGUCAUGUCAAAUUUUGGAAAAUUUUAGGGGUCAUUUGACCUUUUAAGACAUUUAAGUGAUUUUCUAGCCAUUUAAUGACCGUAAUUGAAAUUUGAACUACAUGUACAUGCAACAGCUAACCAUAACGGUUUGAAAACUCAUAUUUCGUGUACUUGUGUGCGAUUUAAUUCCAUGUGCAGUAAAUUGGAAAGAAUUUUCAAACAUAUUGGUCUAACGGCUAUGGCACAAUUAAGCAUGGAGUGACAUGGCAUUUUAAUUCCAAAAAAUAAAAAACUCAGAAACACAUGAAACCUUGGUUGAUGUAAUGUCAUGCCACCAAGAUGAUGUGGUAGAAAAAUUGGCAUGUUUGACGAAAGUUUGGACACACACCCUCACAAACCGGGGCAACUUACUAGAAGGCUCGCGGUUCCGAGAGGGAACAAUGCAUGUUUGAUGAUGAAUGGGAGAUAACUUCCUCUUACGACCUUCAAUUUUUUUCUACGUCUAGCAUGCACUACUACAACUGUAAUGUGAAUUUUUUGAAAAUUCUAGGGGUCAUUUGACCUUUUAAAGACAUUUAAGUGAUUUUCUAGCCAUUUAAUUCCGAAAAAAAGAAACGCAUGAAACCUUGGUUGAUGUAAUGUCAUGCCACCAAGAUGACGUGGUAAAGAAAUUGGCAUGUUUGAUGAAAGUUUGGACACACACCCCUCACAAACCGGAGCAACUCUCUAGAAGGUUCGUGGUUCCAAGAGGGAACAAUGCAUGUUUGAUGACGAACGGGAGAUAGCUUCCUCUUAUGGCCUUCAAAUUUUUUCUAUGUCUAACAUGCAGUACUAGAACUGUAAUGUGAAAUUUUGGAAAAUUUCAGGGGUCAUUUGACCUUUUAAAAACAUUUAAGUGAUUUCCUAACCAUUUAAUGACCGUAAUUCAAAUUUGAACUACAUCUACAUGCAACGCCUAACCAAAACGGUUUGAAAAAUCAUAUCUGUGUACUUGUGUGCGAGUUAAUUCCAUGUGCAGUAAAUUAGAAGGAAUUUUCAAACAUAUUAGUCUCACGACAUGGAUACAUGCAUACGUAUGCAUGGAGUGACAUGGCAUUUUAAUUCCAAAAAAUAAAAAAAAUGAUCAGAAAAACAUGAAACCUUGGUUGAUGUAAUGUCAUGCCACCAAGAUGAUGUGGUAAAGAAAUUGGCAUGUUUGACGAACGUUUGUACACACACUCCUCACAAACCGGAGCAACUCGCUAGAAGAUUUGUGAUUCUGAGAGGGAACAAUGCAUGUUUGAUGACGAACGGGAGAUAGCUUCCUCUUACAGCCUUCAAUUUUUUCCUACGUUUAACGUGCACUAAUACAACUGUCAUGUGAAAAUUUGGAAAAUUUCAGGGGUCAUUUGACCUUUUAAAGACAUUUAAGUGAUUUUCUAACCAUUUAAUGACCGUAGUUCAAAUUUGAACUACAUCUACAUGCAACGCCUAACCAUAAUGGUUUGAAAAAUCAUAUUUUUGUGUACUUGUGUGCGAGUUAAUUUCAUGUGCAGUAAAUUAGAAGGAAUUUUCAAACAUAUUAGUCUCAAGGCAUGGGCACAUGCAUGGAGUGCCAUGGCAUUUUAAAUCCAAAAAAUAAAAAAAUGAUCAGAAAAACAGGAAACCUUGGUUGAUGUAAUGUCAUGCCACCAAAAUGAUGUGGUAAAGAAAUUGGCAUGUUUGACGAACGUUUGGACACACACCCCACACAAACCGGAGCAACUCGCUAGAAGGUUCGUGGUUCCAAGAGGGAACAAUGCAUGUUUGAUGACGAACGAGAGAUAACUUCCUCUUACGGCCUUCUAUUUUUUUUUCCUACGUUUAACAUGCACUAAUACAACUGUCAUGUGAAAAUUUGGAAAACUUCUGGGGUCAUUUGACCUUGUAAAGACAUUUAAGUGAUUUUCUAACCAUUUAAUGACCGUAAUUCAAAUUUGAACUACAUCUACAUGCAACGCCUAACCAUAACGGUUUGAAAAAUCAUAUUUUUGUGUACUUGUGUGCGAGUUAAUUGCAUGUGCAGUAAAUUAGAAGGAAUUUUCAAACAUAUUGGUCUCAAGGCAUGGGCACAUGCAUGGAGUGCAUGCCAUGGCAUUUUAGUUCCAAAAAAUUAAAAAUGAUCAGAAAAACAUGAAACCUUGCUUGAUUUAAUGUUAUAACACCAAGAUGAUGUGGUAAAAAAAUUGGCCUGUUUGACAAAAGUUUCGACACACACCCCUCACAAACCGGAGCAAAUCACUAGAAGGUUCGUGGUUCCGAGAGGGAACAAUGCAUGUUUGAUGACGAACGAGAGAUAACUUCCUCUUACGGCCUUCUAAUUUUUUUUCCUACGUUUAACAUGCACUAAUACAACUGUCAUGUGAAAAUUUGGAAAACUUCUGGGGUCCUUUGACCUUUUAAAGACAUUUAAGUGAUUUUCUAACCAUUUAAUGACCGUAAUUCAAAUUUGAACUACAUCUACAUGCAACGCCUAACCAAAGCUGUUUGAAAAAUCAUAUUUUUGUGUACUUGUGUGCGAGUUAAAAAAUCAUCAGACGAUGUAAAUAUCUGGUGUUCAAAAAAGAAAAUGUAAAGAUCUGGCAAGACAACCGACCCCCACACGAUUGGCACUCUAUCUCGCGGCUCGAGGUUUGGUAGGUGAUUGGCGGCGAUCAUUAAUCAGACACGGUUCUGUAUUGAAAACCGUCAACUAUUAUGUUCACACACGGAUUUUGCUGCGGGAAUCGUGUGUAAUUCAAACUACAGUACUCGUAAAUUCCGGUGACCGGCGUGUGUACUGUCCCGUCGAUCUAGAUUACGACCGCCAAUAAAUACUACCUUGCUCACGUCGUCCCGCCUGCAUUCUCAUCUACAUCCUCCCCUCGCCCGCCCUCUCUCUCUCUGUCAAAUCUCUGCCAUGGCGCCACCGGUCUGCCCACGCGCCGACGAGGAGUCGCCGCCCCCCGAGGACGCUCACUCGAUUAGCAGCGACGAGGACCCCUACGCGCCGCCUGACGAGGUUGCACCGGACCCCCCAACUUUGGAUUGGUUUUGGGGCCAGUACAAUCUUUGUCUGUGGAAGUCGCUGCCACCGGCUGAGAAAGCCAGGCAAGUGGCGUUCAAGAAGGAGAUGGCGGAGGAGAAAGACAGGUACUAGGCGGCCUGUGAAGCCCGUGAUGCCGGCUGGAAAAAGGAGGCGGCAGAGCUUUGGGGGCGGGCACGUCGUCGUGCCGAGGAGGUGUACGAAUACAGGUACUUCGCGAGGAAGGUCAUAGGCGCUGGGCGCCUCAUCGUUGCGUGGAGGUGGGCCGAUAAGCUCCAGCGUGCCACCGACGAGGAGCUCCGUUGGGCGCCCAACGAAAUGGCAAGAUCGGCCGCGCGCGUCCGCCAGCAAGGGGCAGAUCGGUACGUCAAGCGCUGCGAGGCGGAGGAGUCGGAGUACUGCCUCCGAACUGGGAAGACGCCGUGCACCAGGGAGCUGCUGGCGAGGGGUUGCCGGAAUACUGGCCCCAGGAGGGAUUAUUAGUUUUAGUAUUGUUCAUUUUUAAUUUUAUUCAUUGUACCUAGUAGUUAAGUAUCAUCACGUAUAUGUGAUGAUUAUAUAUAUAUAUAUAUAUAUUUUGUGAUGAACUAAUGAACAAUUAAUAUAUAUAUAUAUAUAUUAUGAAUUCCAAUUUUUUUCUGUUUUUGUAUACUAAUUUGAAUCUAGCUGUUAUCAUCCACAUAUACAGAAUGGAAAGCGUAUAUACACACAUUGAAACAGAACAUAUAAGAAUGGAAAACAGAGUACACACAUUGAAACAGAGCAAUAAACAGAGCAAUACUAUGAUUGUUGUGAAUACAUAGUUAUCCACGUCGAAAAGACUUUUCAAAAUAAAACGCGUCCAUGAGACCAUGACCAACAGCCCUUGCCUAGGGUAGCUCUUGGAUCUGCCUGAACUCGUGCAUGCGUUCGUCAAAGCGGUCGACACGCUCGCGGUACAUCUGGAGCGAGAUCUUGAGCUCCAAGUUGGCUAUUUCAUCGGAGCUCACCAGCUCGAGGAUGCGACGGCCAUGUUCCUCUACUUCGCCCAGGUGGACACCUGGGCCAAGGAGGCGGUCGAGCCUACGGAACAACGCGUUGGCAUCCAGCGGGCCGCGGACAAGGCAAACGGCGGCACCCAGGCGAACGGCGCGGCGGGCGUCCAGUGCAAGUAUGGCGCAGCCGGCCUCUGGUGAAAGUAUGGCGCCGAGGGCCUCUGCCCACUCCUGGCGAGGAAUGGGGGUACUGACGGGACGUGUACCCAGCAGCGACGCCAUGUCGACAGCAGGCAAGCGCCGAUGGAUCCGCUCUUGCUGUGCGGCGCGCCGCGCCUCUCACUCUGCGGCGCUCCAACGGUCUCGCCGUGUGGUGAGCCGCAGCCUAUCGGCGCGGACGCGCCUAGCUUGCUCCGCGGCGCGCCAUCGAUCAUGUUGUGCAGCGAGCUGCAGCCUGUCGGCGCUGACAUGCCUAUCUUGAUCCGCGGUGCUCAAGCGCCAUGCGCCAAAGGUCUGCUCAACCCUGGCGAUGACGCGCAUCACGACGUCGUCCAUCGCGUUGCCGGGAGCGCCUCGGCCUCGACGGGCCGUGGCGCCUGCUCGAUUUCCUCGUCGACGAGUGGCAGGCGGCGCUUUGGUGGGUCAGCAUGCUUGGAAAAGGUGGAUGUGCUACAGGCUGCGCUUGUCGCCUCCGUGCGUUGCACGCCGCCUAUGCGCAAUAUAGCAGGGUGGCAGGAAACAGGUGAGGAAAUGGCGGGAAACGGUGGCGUGUUCAUAAAACGCCAUCAACUAAUGGAAACUUUGCAUAGAAGGAACAUCGAGCUAGCACAAGAAGUAGAUGAUGAUCAGAUGAACACGGACCACACUAGGGAACCCGUCGGUGAUGAAUUCAUCAAUCCCAAACGGUUGAAUACUAGCAAGCGUUUGCCCACAACACACACGGCCUAUUCCAUCACAAACAGGUCGGAUGGAUCAACUGUAUGCCACGUAUCACACAUUGUCAAAAAGUAAUGCGGUAGACCUUCUUUAACAUGUGUUAAAAAAACAAGGACCUCGAGGUUAAAUUAGCUGAGGGAAUGGGUCAUUUCGGUCAAAUGACCGAAAUGACCCAUCCUAUCAGUUAAUUUAACAUCAACACAACUUUCCAUCCAGUUACCCAUCUGAUGGCUGCUCCAGCCUGAGCACACUUAACUUGAUAGUUUUCUUACAUGAGCUAUUGGUGGAACAACUAGUCCUUGCUGAUAGGAAUGCCUCUUCGCAUCCUUAUGGCGUAUCCGGAUGAUCGCCCGUCCCACAAUGGCCAAUAGAUGUUGUGUAGACAGAGCAUAUCACAUACGUCUUAUUAGAAGCAACCGUCUGUGUUAUUAUCGGUCUUCGCACACAUUUCUGAUUACAGACCUGUUUGCCGCGUAUCACACACAUCUUGUUAUAUUGAACCGUUUCUGUUCUCUUGCCUAAUCACAAACAGUUCAUCCGAGUGAACCGUAUGCUGUACAUCGCACACACCUUGAUCGGGCUGACCGUUUCUUUUGUGUUGCCUAAUCACAAACAGUUCAUCCGAGUGAACCGUAUGCUGUACAUUGCACACACCUUCAUCUGGCUGCCCGUUUCUUUUGUUCCUCCUCAUCGCAAACAAUUAAUUGAGCUGAACCGUAUGCCCUGCAUCGCACACGCAACUAAAAUCUGAACCGUGUUUGAUGCAUCCUCCAUCGCAAACGUUUUGCACCUUUUUUGACGGUUAUUUUACACCAACGUUUGCGAUUAUGGCAUCACACACAGUUUCGUUGAAGGGUCUCUGAUCGUAGUGUCGCGUUAGCAACAUCCUGCAGUAGUGAAUGCACAUCACUAUAAGCCUUGCAAGCAAUGUGACUAAUGAGUUAGUUGCGGGAUGAUGCAUUAUGGAACGAGUUAAGAGACUUGGCGGUAACGAGAUUGAACUAGGUAUGAUGAUACCGACGAUCGAAUCUCAGACAAGUAACAUACCGCUGACGAAGGGAACACCGUACGUUGUUAUGCGGUUUGACCGAUAAAGAUCUUCGUAUAAUAUGUAGGAGACAAUAUGAGCAUCCAGGUUCCGCUAUUGGUUAUUGACCGGAGAUGUGUCUCAGUCAUGUCUACAUAGUUCUCGAACCCGUAGGGUCCGCACGCUUAAUGUUCGAUGACGAUUUGUGUUAUGAGUUAUGUGAUUUGAUGUACCGAAGUUUGUUCGGAGUCCCGGAUGAGAUCACAGACAUGACGAGGAGUCUCGAAAUGGUCGAGACAUAAAGAUUGAUAUAUUAUUGGAAGGUUGUGUUUGGACACCGGAAUGGUUUCGGAAAGGUUCGGACAUUUUCCGGAGUACCGGGGGUUACCGGAACCCCCCCGGGGAGUUAAUGGGCCUUCAUGGGCCCUGUGGAGAGAGGAGGCGGCGGCCAGGUGGAGGCGUGCGCCGCCCCAAGCCCAAACCGAAUUGGACUAGGGUUGGGGGGGCCCCUUUCCUUCUCUCCUCCUCCUCCUUCCCUCCUUNNNNNNNNNNNNNNNNNNNNNNNNNNNNNNNNNNNNNNNNNNNNNNNNNNNNNNNNNNNNNNNNNNNNNNNNNNNNNNNNNNNNNNNNNNNNNNNNNNNNNNNNNNNNNNNNNNNNNNNNNNNNNNNNNNNNNNNNNNNNNNNNNNNNNNNNNNNNNNNNNNNNNNNNNNNNNNNNNNNNNNNNNNNNNNNNNNNNNNNNNNNNNNNNNNNNNNNNNNNNNNNNNGGACUGGGAGUCCAAGUAGGACUCCCCCCAUGGCGCGCCCCCCUUGGGCCGGCCACCUCUCCUCCCCCCUUUUAUAUACGUGGGAGGGGCGCACCCCAAAGGGACACCAAGCCUUCUCUUAGCCGUGUGCGGUGCCCCCCUCCAUAGUUACACACCUCGGUCAUAUCGCCGUAGUGCUUAGGCGAAGCCCUGCGCCGGUAACUUCAUCAUCAUCGUCGCCACGCCAUCGUGCUGACGGAACUCUCCCUCGGCCUCAACUGGAUCAAGAGCUCGAGGGACGUCAUCGAGCUGAACGUGUGCUGAACGCGGAGGUGUCGUACAUUCGGUGCUUGGAUCGCGAAGACGUUCGACUGCAUCAACCGCGUUACUAAACGCUUCCGCUUUCGGUCUACGAGGGUACGUGGACACACUCUCCCCGCUCGUUGCUAUGCUUCUCCUAGAUAGAUCUUGCAUGAUCGUAGGAAUUUUUUUGAAAUACUACGUUCCCCAACAAAUUGUUAUGCUCAAAUUGCAAAGACAUGAAGCUUCUAACAUUAUUUUCAAUUUCGUCUAACCUCCUAAGGUGAGGAUCAACGUUUUUUGGAGGAUACAUUGCGACAAAGCAAGCAAUCCAACACAUGAGCACACAGAAAGCAAGCGAAUAAGACAAACAGAAGAGGGGCAAAGAAAAGGCGAAUCUUUUCGAAAAGGCGAAUCUCUGCGAAACUCUAAAUCUUUUAGAAGUGGGGGAGAGGAAAAUGAGAGGCGAAUGGCAAAUAAUGUGAUGCGAGGGAUGAGAGUUUAUGAUGGGUACUUGGUAUGUCUCGGCUUGGCGUAGAUCUCCCCGGCAAUGGCGCCAGAAAUUCUUCCUGCUACCUCUUGAGCUUGCGUUGGUUUUUCCCUUGAAGAGGAAAGGGUUAUGCAGCAAAGUAGAGUAAGUAUUUCCCUCAGAUUUUGAGAACCAAGGUAUCAAUCCAGUAGGAGACAACGCGCAAGCCACUGAAUACCUGCACAAACAAACACCAACUUGCACCCAAAAGGGGUUGUCAAUCCCUUCACGGUUAUUUGCAACGUGAGAUCAGAUAGAGAUGGAUAAACGGUAAAGUAAUAUUUUUGGUAUUUUUGGUUUAUGGAACGGAAAGUAAAAGAUUGCAAAGAAAGUAAAUAGGAAACUGAAAUUAUAGAUCGGAAACUUAUAUGAUGGAAAAUAGACCUGGGGGCAUAGGUUUCACUAGAGGCUUCUCUCAAGAUAGAAAUUAUUACGGUGGGUGAACAAAUUAUUGCAGAGCAAUUGAUAGAAAAGUGCAAAGUUAUGACGAUAUCUAAGGCAAUGAUCAUGAACAUAGGCAUCACGUCCUUAUCAAGUAGACCGACUCCUGCCUGCAUUUACUACUAUUACUCCACACAUCGACCGCUAUCCAGCAUGCAUCUAGAGUAUUAAGUUCAUAAAGAACGGAGUAACACCUUAAGCAAGAUGACAUGAUGUAGAGGAAUUAACUCAAGCAAUAUGAUGAAAACCCCAUCUUUUUAUCCUCGAUGGCAACAAUACAACACGUGUCGGUUCCCCUUCUGUCACUAGGAUCGAGCAGCGCAAGGUUGAACCCAAAGCUAAGAACUUUUCCAUUGCAAGAAAAACCUAUCUAGUUGGCCAAACCAAAUCGAUAGUUCGAAGAGACUUGCAAAGAUAUCAAAUCAUGCAUAUAAGAAUUCAGAGAAGAUUCAAAUAAUAUUCAUAGAUAAGCCGAUCAUAAAGCCACAAUUCAUCGGAUCUCGGCAAACACACCGCAAAAGAGUAUUACAUGGAAUAGAUCUCCAAGAACAUCGAGGAGAACUUUGUGUUGAGAAUCAAAGAGAGAGAAGAAGCCAUCUAGCUACUAGCUAUGGACCCGCAAGUCUGUGAUAAACUACUCAGGUUUCAUUGGAGAGGCAAUGGUGUUGAUGUAGAAGCCCUCCGUGAAAAGGCCCCGAGAUGGGACCUCACGCGUACAGAAGGUUGCGGAGGUGGAAAAUUGGUUUCGUGGCUCCCCUGGAAGUUUUUGGGAUAUUUGAGAAUAUAUAGGAGGAAGAUCUAGGUCAGGGGGUCACCGAGGGGCCCACAAGGUCGGGGGGCGCGCCCUCCACCCUUGUGGCCGCCUCGUGGCUCUUCUAACUUGCACUCCAAGUCUCCUGGGUGUCUUCUGGUCCAAGAAAAAUCAUCGCGAAAGUUUUAUUCUGUUUGGACUCUGUUUGGUAUUCCUUUUCUGCGAAACUCUAAAACAAGGAAAAAAACAUGAACUGGCAUUGGGCUCUAGGUUAAUAGGUUAGUCCCAAAAAUCAUAUAAAAUAGCAUAUUAAUGCAUAUAAAACAUCCAAAUCAGAUAAUAUAAUAGCAUGGAACAAUAAAAAAUUGUUGAUACGUUGGAGACGUAUCAAGCAUCCCCAAGCUUAAUUCCUGCUCGUCCUCGAGUAGGUAAAUGAUAAAGAUAGAAUUUUUGAUGUGGAAUGCUACCUAACAUAUUUAUCCAUGUAAUUAUCUUUAUUGUGGCAUGAAUGUUCAGAUCUGUAAGAUUCAAAACAAAAUUUUAAUAUUGACAUAAAAACAAUAAUACUUCAAGCAUACUAGCAAAAUAAUUAUGUCUUCUCAAAAUAACAUGGCCAAAGAAAGCUUAUCCCUACAAAAUCAUAUAGUCUGGCUAUGCUCCAUCUUCAUCACACAGAAUAUUCAAAUCAUGCACAACCCCGAUGACAAGCCAAGCAAUUGUUUCAUACUUUUGAUGUUCUGAAACUUUUUCAACUUUCACGCAAUACAUGAGCGUGAGCCAUGGACAUAGCACUAUAGGUGGAAUAGACGAUGGUUGUGGAGAAGACAAAAGGAAGGAGAUAGUCUCACAUCAACUAGGCGUAUCAACGGGCUAUGGAGAUGCCCAUUAAUAGAUAUCAAUGUGAGUGAGUAGGGAUUGCCAUGCAACGGAUGCACUAGAGCUAUAAGUUUAUGAAAGCUCAAAAGAAAACUAAGUGGGUGUGCAUCCAACUUGCUUGCUCACGAAGACCUAGGGCAUUUUGAGGAAGCCCGUCAUUGGAAUAUACAAGCCAAGUUCUAUAAUUAAAAAUUCCCAUUAGUAUAUGAAAUUGAUAUCAUAGGAGGCUCUCUAUCAUGAAGAUCAUGGUGCUACUUUGAAGCACAAGUGUGGUAAAAGGAUAGUAGCAUUACCCCUUCUCUCUUUUCUCUCAUUUUUUUAUUUGGGCCUUCUUUAUUUUUUGGCCUCUUUUUUUCGUCCGGAAUCUCAUCCCGGCUUGUGGGGGAAUCAUAGUCUCCAUCAUCCUUUCCUCACAUGGGACAAUGCUCUAACAAUGAAGAUCAUCACACUUUUAUUUAGUUACAACUCAAAAAUUACAAGAAAAAUCACCGUAAAGUUUUAUUCCGUUUGGACUUCGUUUGGCAUUCCUUUUUUGUAAAAGUCAAAAACAAGGAAAAAACCAGAAACUGGCACUGGGCACUAGGUUAAUAAGUUAGUCCCAAAAAUAAUAUAAAAUAGCAUAUUAAUGCAUAUAAAACAUCCAAAACAGAUAAUAUAAUAGCAUGGAACAAUCAAAAAUUAUAGAUACGUUGGAGACGUAUCAUGGACCAGUACCCCCAGACCAUGAUGGGGCGGAUCCAGCGGAGGAGCAGCGGCAGUCGGAGGCGGAGUAGUAUCCCUAGCCCAUGGAGGGGCGAAUCUGGAGGAGGACACAGUGGAGCCAGAGUGGGAGGCAGAGCUGGCUGCGGGCUUUGCCAUUGAGGACACCAUGACAGAGUUCGAGGUCGCCCAAGCCGAGGAGGCGGCGGAGUGGACCGCCACCCUAGAGUCCAUCCAGCAGAGGCCUCGGUUUAGGUCAACCGACGCUUCCUCCGGCAGCAGAGGGUGGGGAUCGACGAAAUCUUCGCCUCUAGUGAGUCCCACGACGAGCCGAAGUUGCCGCAUGCGGACAUCUACCCAAAGCCCGACACGGAGGCCGUGGACAUCUCGAUGAUGAGUAGCGUGGGGUAGAUAGGAUAUAUACGUAGUAUGUAGGUUUUUAUUUUGCAUGGUUUGUAUGGAUUUGAGAUAUAUACUAUGAGGUAUUUGGAUGCAGCAGACAAAUUUUGAGAUGUGACCGAUCACUGUCCGCAAAUGUGUCCGGACACGUUCGACGGGCAUUUGAGGACCCAAAUUUGGUAUGCACGGUUGUAGAUGCUCUUAGGCCUUAGAAACCCCAGAUGAGACGGCCAACAGCUCUCCGAACAAAAAAAAUUGCUUCUCCGGGAUGGAAGUUUCACUUGUAAGUAGACAUUGGUCAUUUGGAAAGAUGGUUCUGGACUUCUGGCCUUUGUGGCAUCCUACCCGAAGAUAAUGCGCCGUCCUCGCAGCAAGAGCGUGUUUGGUUGGUUUUACCAAUUUGCCUGCAUUGCAUGUGUUUCUUUGAUCGGUCUGGCUGAAAAAAUAGCCUAAAAACCAUACAGUUUGGUUGCCCGCAUCUAGGAUGGCUGCAUGAGAGAACUAAAUUUGACCUGCCGUUUGGUUGGCUGCAUUGUAGUAGACGUACAUAUGACACGUUGUUUGGUUGCAACCAACGUAAGUUCUUGUCACCACUUCUCACUAGUGUGACCUUACCACACACAAUCUGAAUAUAGUUUCAGUCCUAACUAGGAAAUAAAUGACAACACAAAUUAUUAAGAACCAUAUGACUGAAUAGGGGAGAGUUCAUCGAUGCUAACUAGGUGGAAGUCCAUCCUCUUCUUCUUCCUCUUCCUCUUCAGAUCCUUGUUUGAUCUCUGUUGUCUCACAUUGCCUGUGCCCACUUCAUCCUUUUGUUCUUUCAGGCUUCGUUGUGAAAUGCCUCCACACCAUGGCCGGAGUUAACAACAUCGUCAGGCAUCACAUCUUCCUCCUCAGGCACUAGUUCAUCACAACCCCAUUGUAGGAUCCAGUUACGCAGAAUGCAACAAGCAAGCACAAGCUUAACCUGGGUGGGGAAAAUGUGGAAUGGCUUUUGAUUUAGGAUCUUAAACCUGUUCUUCAGAGCUCCAAAUGCCAUCUCAACAGUAACUGUAAGGCUGGAGUGUCUGAGAUUAAACAGCUCUCGUGGAGUCCUAGGAUAGUUCCUACCAACAAACUCAUUCAGAUGGUACCUGGUUUUCCUGAAGGGUGGAAGAACACCUGGCCGGCAUGCAUAGCCAGUAUCUUCUAGGUAGAACUUGCCAUCUAGGAUGUUGAUGCCAUCAGGACGACUCAUGUUGUCACUGAGAAUGUUAGCAUCAUGUGUUGAUCCUUCCUAGCCAACCAACACAUAUGUGCACUUCAGAUCGAAGUCAACAACAACAAGCACAUUCUGCCUUGUGUAGUGCUUUCUACCAUGUAUGUUGCAGACUGUGACCACGACAGUGUGGCAGUGACAUGAGUACCAUCUAUUGCCCCAAUGCAAUUCUGAAAUGGCAUUACAAGAUUAUGUUGUGGCUAUAGCCGAAGAAUACAAGCAUAUCAAGGUAUGAAGUACAUACUGUCAGUGCUCACCUUGAAGUAUGGAUACUGUAUUGGGCUAGUGCGAAUCUUCGUAGGAGUCCGGCUGGUUGGUGACACGAUCAUUUCUCCUCUGAGUUCCCCAACAACAUACAACACUUGGCUGAAGUACCUGGAGAUGGUCUACAUUGAUCUCCUGAAGGUGUUCUGCAUAUCCUUGAACCUCUGAUUAUGACCAACAACAUGGAGGAGCAUGGCUACUUGCUCUUCCACACAGGUGUGGAUGCUAUCUUGUAGCAUCCCCUGCUCCUGAUGGCCCGCACAAGCCUUCUAAAUAGUGAUCUUUUUCAUUCGAAGCAUCCACAGAGCCUCUGUGUCGUUGUGGUUUUAGAUGUAGUUUAGAUUCACCAUCCUCUCCUGAUCCCGGAUAAACAUUGGACCGUGAUUGGUGACUGGCCUCCCACCACGACGAACAACUCUUUUGUGCAUCAACAUGAGCCAUGCCUGAAUCACAGCUAUCAGUGUUGCAGCCUAAAUUACGAGCUUAAUUCGUGCGUCCAUAACCUAGUCGACAUUGAGGGUGCAUUGAGCAAUGGGGAAAUCAAGCCUACACCUUGCCUAACGGCCUAACAACCUACCUAACAUAGGGGGCGAGGGGGUGUUACUUUGUAGUGAACGUUGGGGAUCGUUGCAGAAAUUAAAAAUUUUCUACGCAUCACCAAGAUCAAUCUAUGGAGUCAUCUAGCAACCAGAGAGAGAGGAGUGCAUCUACAUACCCUUGUAGAUCGCGAGCGGAAGCGUUCAAGAGAACGGGGUUGAUGGAGUCGUACUCGUCGUGAUCCAAAUCACCGAUGAUCCUAGCGCCGAACGGACGGCACCUCCGCGUUCAACACACGUACGGAGCGGAGACGUCUCCUCCUUCUUGAUCCAGCAAGGGGUAAGGAGAACUUGAUGGAGAUCCAGCAGCACGACGGCGUGGUGGUGGAAGCAGCGGGAUUCCAGCAGGGCUUCGCCAAGCGCUACUGGAGGAGGAAGAGGUGUCACGGGAGGGAGAGGCAGGCGCCAGGGCUUAGGGUGCGGCUGCCCUCCCUCCCCUCCACUAUAUAUAGGGGCUAGGGGGGGUGCAUGCCCCCCUUGGAGAUCCCAUCUAGAGGGGGGGAGGGCGGGGCGGCGGCCCCUCGGGGGGCAACGACCCCCCUAUGGUUUCCAACCCUAGGCGCCUUGGGCCCUUGGGUGGGGCGCACCAGCCCACCAGGGGCUGGUUCCCACGCCACUUCAGCCCAUGGGGCCCUCCGGGAUAGGUGGCCCCAUCCGGUGGACCCCCGGGACCCUUCCGGUGGUCCCGGUACAAUACCGGUGACCCCCGAAACUCUCCCGGUGGCCGAAACUGGACUUCCUAUAUAUAAAUCUUUGCGUCCGGACCAUUCCGGAACUCCUCGUGACGUCCGGGAUCUCAUCUGGGACUCCGAACAACUUUCGGUUAACCGCAUACUAAUAUCUCUACAACUCUAGCGUCACCGAACCUUAAGUGUGUAGACCCUAUGGGUUCGGGAAUCAUGCAGACAUGACCGAGACACCACUCUAGCCAAUAACCAACAACGGGAUUUGGAUACCCAUGUUGGCUCCCACACGUUCCAUGAUGAUCUCAUCGGAUGAACCACGAUGUCGAGGAUUCAAGCAAUCCCGUACACAAUUCCCUUUGUCAAUCGGUACGUUACUUGCCCGAGAUUCGAUCGUCGGUAUCCCAAUACCUCGUUCAAUCUCGUUACCGGCAAGUCACUUUACUCGUUCCGUAAUGCAUGAUCCCAUGACUAACUACUUAGUCACAUUGAUCUCAUUAUGAUGAUGCAUUACCGAGUGGGCCCAGAGAUACUUCUCCGUCAUACGGAGUGACAAAUCCCAGUCUCGAUCCGUGCCAACCCAACAGACACUUUCGGAGAUACCUGUAGUGCACCUUUAUAGCCACCCAGUUAUGUUGUGACGUUUGGUACACCCAAAGCAUUCCUACGGUGUCCGGGAGUUGCACGAUCUCAUGGUCUCAGGAAAUGAUACUUGACAUUAGAAAAGCUUUAGCAAACGAACUACACGAUCUAGUGCCAUGCUUAGGAUUGGGUCUUGUCCAUCACAUCAUUCUCCUAAUGAUGUGAUCCCGUUAUCAAUGACAUCCAAUGUCCAUGGUCAGGAAACCGUAACCAUCUAUUGAUCAACGAGCUAGUCAACUAGAGGCUCACUAGGGACAUGUUAUGGUCUAUGUGUUCACACAUGUAUUACGAUUUCCGGAUAACACAAUUAUAGCAUGAACAAUAGACAAUUAUCAUGAAUAAGGAAAUAUAAUAUAACCAUUUUAUUAUUGCCUCUAGGGCAUAUUUCCAACAGUCUCCCACUUGCGCUAGAGUCAAUAAUCUAGUUACAUUGUGAUGAAUCGUACACCCAUAGAGUUCUGGUGUUGAUCAUGUUUUGCCCGUGGAAGAGGUUUAGUCAACGGAUCUGCGACAUUCAAAUCCGUAUGCACUUUACAAAUAUCUAUGUCUCCAUUUUGAACAUUUUCACGAAUGGAGUUGAAGUGACGCUUGAUGUGCCUGGUCUUCUUGUGAAGCCUGGGCUCCUUGGUAAGGGCAAUAGCUCCAGUGUUGUCACAGAAGAGAGUCAUCGGCCCCGAUGCAUUGGGAAUAACUCAUAGGUCGGCAAUGAACUCCUUCAUCCAGAUUGCUUCAUGUGCUGCCUCCGAGGCUGCCAUGUACUCCGCUUCACAUGUAGAUCCCUCCACGACGCUUUGCUUGCAACUGCUCCAGCAGACUGCCCCACCAUUCAAAAUAUACACGUAUCCGGUUUGUGGCUUAGAGUCAUCCAGAUCUGUGUCGAAGCUAGCAUCGACGUAACCCUUUACGACGAGCUCUUCGUCACCUCCAUAAACGAGAAACAUAUCCUUAGUCCUUUUCAGGUACUUCAGGAUGUUCUUGACCGUUGUCCAGUGUUCCAUGCCGGGAUUACUUUGGUACCUUCCUACCAAACUUACGGCAAGGUUUACAUCAGGUCUGGUACACAGCAUGGCAUACAUAAUAGACCCUAUGGCCGAGGCAUAGGGGAUGACACUCAUCUUUUCUUUAUCUUCUGCCGUGGUCGGGCAUUGAGCCGUGCUCAAUCUCACACCUUGCAAUACAGGCAAGAACCCCUUCUUGGACUGAUCCAUAUUGAACUUCUUCAAUAUCUUAUCAAGGUAUGUGCUUUGUGAAAGACCUAUGAGGCGUCUCGAUCUAUCUCUAUAGAUCUUGAUGCCUAAUAUGUAAGCAGCUUCUCCAAGGUCCUUCAUUGAAAAACACUUAUUCAAGUAGGCCUUUAUGCUUUCUAUAUCAUUUCCCAUCAAUAGUAUGUCAUCCACAUAUAAUAUGAGAAAUGCUACAGAGCUCCCACUCACUUUCUUGUAAACACAGGCUUCUCCAUAAGUCUGUGUGUAAACCCAAACGCUUUGAUCAUCUCAUCAAAGCGAAUGUUCCAACUCCGAGAUGCCUGCACCAGCCGAUAGAUUGAGCGCUGGAGUUUGCAUACCUUGUCAGCAUUCUUAGGAUCGACAAAACCUUCCGGCUGCAUCAUAUACAAUUCUUCCUUAAGGAAGCCGUUAAGGAAUGCCGUUUUGACGUCCAUUUGCCAUAUUUCAUAAUCGUAGAAUGCGGCAAUUGCUAACAUGAUUCGGACGGACUUCAGCUUCGCUACGGGUGAAAAGGUCUCAUCGUAGUCAACUCCUUGAACUUGUCGAUAACCCUUAGCGACAAGUCGAGCUUUAUAGAUGGUAACAUUUCCAUCCGCGUCCGUCUUCUUCUUAAAGAUCCAUCUAUUUUCUAUCGCUCGCCGAUCAUCGGGCAAGUCUGUCAAAGUCCAUACUUUGUUUUCAUACAUGGAUCCUAUCUCGGAUUGCAUAGCUUCAAGCCAUUUGUUGGAAUCUGGGCCCGCCAUUGCUUCUUCAUAGUUCGAAGGUUCAUCGUUGUCCAACAACAUGAUUUCCAUGACAGGGUUGCCGUACCACUCUGGUGCGGAAUGUGUCCUUGUGGACCUACGCAGUUCAGUGGUAACUUGAUCAUGAUCAUCAUCAUUAACUUCCUCUCUAGUCGGUGCAGGCACCACAGAAACAUUUUCUUGUGCUGCGCUACUUUCUGGUUCGUGAGGGUUCAUCUCAUCAAGUUCCACUUUCCUCCCACUUACUUCUUUCGAGAGAAACUCUUUCUCCAGAAAGGACCCGUUCUUGGCAACGAAGAUCUUGCCUUCAGGUCUGAGGUAGAAGGUAUACCCAAUGGUUUCCUUAGGGUAUCCUAUGAAGACGCAUUUUUCCGAAUUGGGUUCGAGCUUUUCAGGUUGAAGUUUCUUGACAUAAGCAUCGCAUCCCCAAACUUUAAGAAACAACAGCUUAGGUUUCUUUCCAAACCAUAAUUCAUACGGUGUCGUCUCAACGGAUUUCGACGGAGCCCUAUUUAAAGUGAAUGCGGCAGUCUCUAAAGCAUAACCCCAAAAUGAUAGCGGUAGAUCGGUAAGAGACAUCAUAGAUCGCACCAUAUCCAAUAGAGUGUGAUUACGACGUUCGGACACACCAUUAUGCUGAGGUGUUCCAGGCGGCGUGAGUUGUGAAACAAUUCCACAUUUCCUUAAGUGUGUGCCAAAUUCGUGACUCAAAUAUUCCCCUCCACGAUCUGAUCGUAAGAACUUUAUUUUCCUGUCACGUUGAUUCUCAACCUCACUCUGAAACUCCUUGAACUUUUCAAAGGUCUCAGACUUGUGUUUCAUUAAGUAGACAUACCAUAUCUACUCAAGUCAUCAGUGAGGGUGAGAACAUAACAAUAGCCACCGCGAGCCUCAACGCUCAUUGGACUGCACACAUCAGUAUGUAUGAUUUCCAAUAAGUUGGUUGCUCACUCCAUUGUUCCGGAGAACGGAGUCUUGGUCAUUUUGCCCAUGAGGCAUGGUUCGCACGUGUCAAAUGAUUCAUAAUCAAGAGACUCCAAAAGUCCAUCUGCAUGGAGUUUCUUCAUACGUUUGACACCAAUGUGACCAAGGCGGCAGUGCCACAAGUAUGUGGGACUAUCAUUAUCAACCUUACAUUUCUUGGCAUUCACACUAUGAAUAUGUGUAACAUCACGUUCGAGGUUCAUUAAGAAUAAACCAUUGACCAGCGGGGCAUGACCAUAAAACAUAUCUCUCAUAUAAAUAGAACAACCAUUAUUCUCUGAUUUAAAUGAGUAGCCAUCUCGCAUCAAACGAGAUCUAGAUACAAUGUUCAUGCUCAAAGCUGGCACUAAAUAACAAUUAUUGUGGUUUAAAACUAAUCCCGUAGGUAAAUGUAGAGGUAGUGUGCCGACGGCGAUCACAUCGACCUUGGAACCAUUCCCGACGCGCAUCGUCACCUCGUCCUUCGCCAGUCUCCGCUUAUUCCCCAGCUCCUGCUUUGAGUUACAAAUAUGAGCAACCACACCGGUAUCAAAUACCCAGGAGCUACUACGAGCGCUGGUUAGGUACACAUCAAUAACAUAUAUAUCACAUAUACCUUUUGUAUUGCCGGCCUUCUUAUCCGCUAAGUACUUGGGGCAGUUCCGCUUCCAGUGACCGUUUCCCUUGUAAUAAAAUCACUCAGUCUCAGGCUUGGGUCCAUUCUUUGUCUUCUUCCCGGCAGCUUGCUUACCGGGCGCGGCAACUCCCUUGCCGUCUUUCUUGAAGUUCUUCUUACCUUGCCUUUCUUGAACUUAGUGGUUUUAUUCACCAUCAACACUUGAUGUUCCUUUUUGAUCUCCACCUCCGCUGAUUUCAACAUUGAAUAUACCUCAGGAAUGGUCUUUUCCAUCCCCUGCAUAUUGAAGUUCAUCACAAAGCUCUUGUAGCUAAGUGGGAGUGACUGAAGGAUUCUGUCAACGACCGCAUCAUCCGGGAGAUUAACUCCCAGCUGAGAUAAGCGGUUGUGCAACCCAGACAUUUUGAGUAUGUGCUCGCUGACAGAACUAUUCUCCUUCAUCUUACAACUGUAGAACUUGUCAGAGACUUCAUAUCUCUCGACCCGGGCAUGAGCUUGGAAAACCAUUUUCAGCUCUUGGAACAUCUCAUAUGCUUCGUGCUGCUCGAAACGCUUUUGGAGCCCCGGUUCUAAGCUGUAAAGCAUGCCGCACUGAACUAGGGAGUAAUCAUCAACACGUGUUUGCCAGGCGUUCAUAACGUCUUGGUUUGCUGGGACGGGUGCUUCACCUAGCGGUGCUUCAAGGACAUAUGCUUUCUUGGCAGCUAUGAGGAUGAUCCUCAAGUUCCGGACCCAGUCCGUAUAGUUGCUACCAUCAUCUUUCAGCUUGGUUUUCUCUAGGAACGCGUUGAAGUUGAGGUUGACAUUAGCGUGGGCCAUUUGAUCUACAAGACAUAUUGUAAAGAUUUUAGACUAAGUUCAUGAUAAUUGAGUUCAUCUAAUCAAAUUAUUAAUGAACUCCCACUCAGAUAGACAUCCCUCUAGUCAUCUAAGUGAUACAUGAUCCGAGUCAACUAGGCCGUGUCCGAUCAUCACGUGAGACGGACUAGUCAUCAUCGGUGAACAUCUUCAUGUUGAUCGUAUCUGCUAUACGACUCAUGUUCGACCUUUCGGUCUCUUAUGUUCCGAGGCCAUGUCUGUACAUGCUAGGCUCGUCAAGUCAACCUAAGUGUAUUGCGUGUGUAAAUCUGGCUUACACCCAUUGUAUGCGAACGUUAGAACCUAUCACACCCGAUCAUCACGUGGUGCUUCGGAACAACGAACCUUCGCAACGGUGCACAGUUAGGGGAAACACUUUCUUGAAAUUUUAGCAAGGGAUCAUCUUAUUUAUGCUACCGUCGUUCUAGGCAAAUAAGAUAUAAAACAUGAUAAACAUCACAUGCAAUCAAAUAGUGACAUGAUAUGGCCAAUAUCAUUUUGCUCCUUUUGAUCUCCAUCUUCGGGGCGCCAUGUUCAUCAUUGUCACCGGCAUGACACCAUGAUCUCCAUCAUCAUGAUCUCCAUCAUCGUGUCUUCAUGAAGUUGUCUCGCCAACUAUUACUUCUACUACUAUGGCUAACGGUUAGCAAUAAAGUAAUGUAAUUACAUGACGUUUCAGUUGACACGCAGGUCAUAAAUAAAUUAAGACAACUCCUAUGGCUCCUGCCGGUUGUCAUAGUCAUCGACAUGCAAGUCGUGAUUCCUAUUACAAGAACAUGAUCAAUCUCAUACAUCACAUAUAUCAUUCAUCACAUUCUUCUGGCCAUAUCACAUCACAUGACACAUGCUGCAAAAACAAGUUAGACGUCCUCUAAUUGUUGUUGCAAAUUUUUACGUGGCGGCUAUAGGUUUCUAGCAAGAACGUUUCUUACCUAUGCCAAAACCACAACGUGAUAUGCCAAUUUCUAUUUACCCUUCAUAAGGACCCUUUUCAUCGAAUCCGAUCCGACUAAAGUGGGCGAGACAGACACCCGCUAGCCACCUUAUGCAACUAGUGCAUCUCAGUCGGUGGAACCUGUCUCACGUAAGCGUACGUGUAAGGUCGGUCCGGACCGCUUCAUCCCACGAUGCCGCCGAAUCAAGAUAAGACUAGUAACGGCAAGUAAAUUGACAAAAUCGACGCCCACAACAACUUGUGUUCUACUCGUGCAUAGAAACUACGCAUAGACCUAGCUCAUGAUGCCACUGUUGGGGAUCGUUGCAGAAAUUAAAAAAAAUUUACGCAUCACCGAGAUCAAUCUAUGGAGUCAUCUAGCAAUGAGAGAGAGAGAGAGGAGUGCAUCUACAUACCCUUGUAGAUCGCGAGCAGAAGUGUUCAAGAGAACGGGGUUGAUGGAGUCGUACUCGUCGUGAUCCAAAUCACCGAUGAUCCUAGCGCCGAACGGACGGCACCUCCGCGUUCAACACACGUACGGAGCGGAGACGUCUCCUCCUUCUUGAUCCAGCAAGGGGGAAGGAGAAGUUGAUGGAAAUCUAGCAGCACGACGGCGUGGUGGUGGAAGCAGCGGGAUUCCAGCAGGGCUUCACCAAGCGCUACUGGAGGAGGAAGAGGUGUCACGGGAGGGAGAGGGAGGCGCCAGGGCUUAGGGUGCGGCUGCCCUCCCUCCCCUCCACUAUAUAUAGGGGCUAGGGGGGCACAUGCCCCCUUUGAAGANNNNNNNNNNNNNNNNNNNNNNNNNNNNNNNNNNNNNNNNNNNNNNNNNNNNNNNNNNNNNNNNNNNNNNNNNNNNNNNNNNNNNNNNNNNNNNNNNNNNNNNNNNNNNNNNNNNNNNNNNNNNNNNNNNNNNNNNNNNNNNNNNNNNNNNNNNNNNNNNNNNNNNNNNNNNNNNNNNNNNNNNNNNNNNNNNNAUGCCCCCUCGGGGGGCAACGGCCCCCUAGGGUUUCCAACCCUAGGCGCCUUGGGCCCUUGGGUGGGGUGCACCAGCCCACCAGGGGCUGGUUCCCACGCCACUUCAGCCCAUGGGGCCCUCCGGGAUAGGUGGCCCCACCAGGUGGACCCCCGGGACCCUUCCGGUGGUCCCGGUACAAUACCGGUGACCCCCGAAACUUUCCCGGUGGCCGAAACUGGACUUCCUAUAUAUAAAUCUUUACCUCCGGACCAUUCCGGAACUCCUCGUGACGUUCGGGAUCUCAUCCGGGACUCCGAACAACAUUCGGUUAACCGCAUAUUAAUAUCUCUACAACUCUAGCGUCACCGAACCUUAAGUGUGUAGACCCUAUGGGUUCGGGAAUCAUGCAGACAUGACCGAGACACCUCUCUAGCCAAUAACCAACAGCGGGAUCUGGAUACCCAUGUUGGCUCCCACACGUUCCACGAUGAUCUCAUCGGAUGAACCACGAUGUCGAGGAUUCAAGCAAUCCCAUACACAAUUCCCUUUGUCAAUCGGUAUGUUACUUGCCCGAGAUUCGAUCGUCGGUAUCCCAAUACCUCGUUCAAUCUCGUUACCGGCAAGUCACUUUACUCGUUCCGUAAUGCAUGAUCCCGUGACUAACUACUUAGUCACAUUGAGCUCAUUAUGAUGAUGCAUUACCGAGUGGGCCCAGAGAUACCUCUCCGUCAUAUGGAGUGACAAAUCCCAGUCUCGAUCCGUGCCAACCCAACAGGCACUUUCGGAGAUACCUGUAGUGCACCUUUAUAGCCACCCAGUUACGUUGUGACGUUUGGUACACCCAAAGCAUUCCUACGGUGUCCGGGAGUUGCACGAUCUCAUGGUCUAAGAAAAUGAUACUUGACAUUAGAAAAGCUUUAGCAAACGAACUACACGAUCUAGUGCCAUGCUUAGGAUUGGGUCUUGUCCAUCACAUCAUUCUCCUAAUGAUGUGAUCCCGUUAUCAAUGACAUCCAAUGUCCAUGGUCAGAAAACCGUAACCAUCUAUUGAUCAACGAGCUAGUCAACUAGAGGCUCACUAGGGACAUGUUAUGGUCUAUGUGUUCACACAUGUAUUAUGGUUUCCGGAUAACACAAUUAUAGCAUGAACAAUAGACAAUUAUCAUGAACAAGGAAAUAUAAUAAUGACCAUUUUAUUAUUGCCUCUAGGGCAUAUUUCCAACAGUGAAGGGAGGGGGAAUGGCUGAGUCUAGGACGACCAGACGGUGGCCAAGAGGAAGGAGUGCAGCGGCUCCUGCUGCCGGAGUGUGUUGCUGUCGCGUCCGCCGCUUGCGCAUAUCUGAGUCGCCGCCNNNNNNNNNNNNNNNNNNNNNNNNNNNNNNNNNNNNNNNNNNNNNNNNNNNNNNNNNNNNNNNNNNNNNNNNNNNNNNNNNNNNNNNNNNNNNNNNNNNNNNNNNNNNNNNNNNNNNNNNNNNNNNNNNNNNNNNNNNNNNNNNNNNNNNNNNNNNNNNNNNNNNNNNNNNNNNNNNNNNNNNNNNNNNNNNNNNNNNNNNNNNNNNNNNNNNNNNNNNNNNNNNNNNNNNNNNNNNNNNNNNNNNNNNNNNNNNNNNNNNNNNNNNNNNNNNNNNNNNNNNNNNNNNNNNNNNNNNNNNNNNNNNNNNNNNNNNNNNNNNNNNNNNNNNNNNNNNNNGGCUAGAUUUGGCGCCGUCUCACCGCGUUCGAUUUCUAUCUCCCGCCAUCCCCAGUCAAUUUCGCCUUGCUCCCUCGUGUGUGAGCUGCAUCCCUUUUGCGCCGCACUCAGCCUGGCUCGCUGGGAACUACCGAUUUAAGGGUUUCCAGUGAACCAGGCUCUGGACUGUUUUAAGGUUCAUGCCGAGCCAACCCACCUCGUAUGCAACCAAAUGCGUUUUUCUUGACCCAACUCAGCCUGGUUGAGGUGUAUGCGGGCUAUCAAAUACGCCCCAGUAUGCCGUGUUCUGCUGUGUCUGUUGGAAUUGCCGUCGGCGCGGCGGUGCCGCAAUCAUGGAGGAAGUACCACAUGGCAUCGGAUCAAGCUGCAUUUGUGAGACGCCAGGGACGCGACGAGGUUUGACAUGGGGUGCAUGCUUAGGUCGUUCUGCAACGAUGGUACCUGGACCUUGGUCUGGCCACCUAUCCCUAAAAAUAUGCCACCACUAAGGGCUAGUUCUGGCUGGUCUUUUUUGUUUGUUUGACCAUAUGCGUCAAGUAGCAGUGUCAGCAAGGAUUUCAUUUGUGCGAGCAUUAGCCAGAAAGAGUGUCCAUCCUCAACUGUUGUUCAACAAUUCACCCGCCAAAAAAAAAGAAAACUGUCGUUCGACAAUCACUGAAGCUUGGGACGGAGCAGAGGAGCUGGUACUAUCAGAGACAGAAACUGUCAUAAACGAGGCCAAUAAGCGAUCCAACCCGCCAAUCAACACAUUAAAGACGAGAUUACUGUCUUAAUACCAGGAGUAAAGAAAUGAAGGGGAACCAGAUGGAGCAUGCUUAGCUCAAUCAGAUAAUUUUGCAAAUCUUCAGAAACGCAGACUGCGAGUCAUCAGUUCAAACUGAAAAGCCAUCGUCACACAAACAAAUGCGAGUAGUACGGGCACAUGUAUGAAUAUAAUUCACUCAGGAAUCCAAUAACUUCCUAUCAUAUGAAGAUUACCAAUAGUCAGAUAAGUGUUAGAAGUUUCUUUUAUUGAUUGGUGUACAUGAUUUUUCUGCCUUUUCCAUGCCAGGGUUGAAACCAUAAACCACAGCCAAGUUUAUAGCGACCAAUUUACAAUAAAUCAAAAUUCACCAAAUUGACCUGAUACAAACUGGACACCGUCUCUGAACAAUUGAAGAGCAUAUAUAUAUAUAUAUAGACCACUAAAAACAUAUAUGUAUCCGACGACCAAAACGAAAAUUCUAGGCAGGGCCAUGUCCCCUCGGCACCGCUCCUAAAAAUGUGCAACGAGUAUGAGGCGAACGACCGCCGCUGCCAUCCCGGUUCGAUCCAUCAUACAGUGUAGUGGUGGUUGUCGACGGUCUCCAUGUCGAGGCCCUUGAGCCUCACCGCAGACUCCACCCUUCCCUUGAGCGUGCUGAGCUCGCGCAGCCUGGCCAUCUCCGCCCGGCGCUUGGCCUGCUCGGCUAUCUCCGAGAGCUCGCCGUAGUUGCUCCUCUCCUGCGGCGUGCUGUCUGGGUCCGCCGUCGGCAGGCCGUGCAGUGUCCGCUGCGCCGUCGCCCACUGCAGCUCCCGCUUCUCCUUCCCGUAGUCCUUCUUGUUCGUGAAGGCGAUCUGUUUGUUUCACCACACAUGUUAAGCCGGGGUCACCUAAGAAACGUUGGUGCAUGACCUUGAGAUCAUUACAAUCCAUGGUGUACCUUGUUCUCGAAGAGGGUGUCCCAUGCCUUGCCGCUGAGCGCGUAGCCGAUGGCGAACUUGAAGAGGUCCAAGGGGAUGAAGGUGAUGAUGCUGUAGAGCCAGAUCACGCCGGCCCAGCCCCAGCCGAUGCCUCUGAUGUGCGCAAACGGCAAGUUGCAGUACACGGCGAUGACGGUGGCGAUCUGCAAUGGCAACAACAGCAAUAGUUGAGUUGCAGUUGCAGAUGAAACGAAAACACUCCAUUGUUGCAGGGAGGCCGUGGUGGGGUGGGCUUACGAUCUGCGCGACGACGAAGGCGAAGCAGAGCCAGAGCCCCGGGCGCUCCUGGAAGCACCAGCGGCGCGACCGGGUGACGAAGAUGAGGGCCUGGCUGAUGAUGCUCACUUGAAGGUAGAGGGCGGACAUCAUCGCAUCCUUGUUGCCCCUUAGGGAAUGCACGUGGAACUUCUCCUGCAAUUAUAUAGGAAACAAACAGGAAAAUUCAGCAUAUAUUGUCUGUAAAACAGCAUGAACCACGCCCAUAAAUUGUUCAGUUUGGAGGGAUUAGACAUGGCAUGGAUUGAAACAACACUCACGCUGAAGAAGUCGGUGCUGGUCAUGGCGAAGAAGAAGACCACGGUCGUCACGGCAAGGUAGGCGCCGUAGACGAUGCCGGUGAUGAAGAUCUCCGGCAGCUUCCAGCUAUCUGGGUGUGGGGAUGGCUUCACUCUGUCCUUGGAGAUGGUCAUGAUUGUGCCUGAGUUGAGUAAAUCAAUAAAACAAAUGAGUAAUGGACAUUAACAUGUCUGGCAUAAUGAAGUUGAGACCCACCGUCGUUGAGAAUGGCGAUGACCAGGAUCAUAAACGGCGAGAAAUCGAACUUCCAAAUCAGCGCGAUCAGCAUAAACCCUAGCUGCAGUUCAGUUCCACGGCACAAAACGAAUUAAAUCAAGUCCAUGUACAUACCUACCAGUAUAAGAGCGGUUAAUAAAUUCAGAAUAAUUUGACUUACCACUAUACGGAUGGUGAUGGACACCGCGUAAAUCUAGGACAUUAACAACAAGGGCACAAGGAACAGUCAGAGUUAUUUGAACAAAAUACUAGUAGUGUCAAAAACGCUCUUACAUUAUGGGACGGAGGGAGUACUGUAGAAUGUUAGUGAGUUUUGGGAGAAUGCUCACGGUGUAGUUCUUCAUCCUCUGGAAGAUGGCACGGCUAGUCAGCACGGCGCUGAUGAUGACGCUGAGCCCCGGUUCGGUGAGCACGAUGUCCGAUGCGCUCCUGGCGGCGUCGGUGGCGUCGGCCACCGCAAUGCCAAUGUCGGCCUUCUUCAGAGCUGGCGCGUCGUUCACGCCAUCGCCGGUCAUCCCGCAGAUGUGCUUCAUCUGCUGCAGCUUCUUGACGAUCUCGUACUUGUGCUCGGGGAAAACACCGGCGAACCCAUCGGCCUUCUCGAUGAGCUCGUCAACGGGGAGCGACACGAUGGACUCGUCGACGCUCUGGCCGAGAAGGGCGGAUGAGGGGUACAUGUUGGUGCCCAUGCCGAGCCUCCUGCCCGUCUCCUUGGCGAUGGCCAGCUGGUCGCCGGUGAUCAUCUUGACGUUGACGCCGAGAUUGAGCGCCUGCUUGAUCGUCUCGGCGCUGUCGUGCCUGGGCGGGUCGAGGAGCGGCAGAAGGCCGACGAACUCCCAUGGCCCCCCGGAGCUGUCCUUGCUCUUCUCCGGCACCUCCUGCCUGGCUACCGCGAGGGACCGGAGGCCGCGCUCGGCGUACUUGUCGAUGAUGGCGUGCGCCUUGUUCUUGACAUCGUCUCUGCAGUUGCACAGUUCCAAGAUCUGCUCGGGAGCACCCUUGCUGACACGGUGCCACGUGCCGUCGGCGACGUCUUGGUAGGUGAGCGCGGUUCGCUUGUCGACGGGGUUGAAGGGGAGGAAGUGCAUCUCCAGGAUGCCAGCCCUGGCCUCCUUUGGGUCGGCGAGCAUGCCGACCAUGGCAGCGUCGAUGGCAUCCUGGUUCUCCACUCUGGAUGCCAUGGCGGCGAAAAGCAAGACCUCGUCCUUGGCGACGCCAACGGCGAACACCUCGAUGAGGUUGCGGUCGACGCUGAGCUUGUUGAGGGUGAGCGUGCCCGUCUUGUCGCUGCAGAGCACGUCCAUGCCGGCCAUCUCCUCGAUGGCCGUCAUGCGCUUAGUGAUGGCGCCCUGCUUCGACAGCCGGUGGGAGCCGAUAGCCAUGGUGACCGACAGCACAGUGGGCAUCGCGAUCGGGAUGCCGCCGAUGAGGAGCACGAGAAGGUUGUCGAUGCCGUCGCGGUACCGGCGGUGCUGGAUGAAGUACAUGACGAUGAUCUCGACGAUCAUGCCGAUGGCGAUGGCGCCGAUGCAGAAGUUGCCGAUGGCGCGGAGCACCUUCUGGAAGUGGCCGACCUGGUUGGUGCUGUCGACGAGGUGCGCCGCCUUGCCGAAGAAGGUGUGCACGCCGGUGGCGAUGACGACGGCCUCGAUCUCGCCCUGCUUGCACGUGGAGCCCGAGUAGACGCUGUCGCCGGGGUUCUUGGUGACGGGCAGCGACUCGCCCGUGAGCGCCGACUGGUCGAUCUUGAGCGGGUCUCCCUCGAGCAGGAGGCGCGCGUCGGCCGGGACAAUGUCGCCGAGCUUGAUGCUGAUGAUGUCGCCGGGCACGAGGAUGGAGGCGUCCUGCUCGCUCCACCUGCCGUCGCGGAGCACCUUGGUCUUGGGGGCGAGGUUGGCCAUGAGCGCCUUGGCCGAGCUGCCGGCGUUGCUCUCCUCGAUGUAAGAGAUGGUUGAGUUGAGCAGGAGCAGCGCGAUGAUGCCGACGAAGUCCUGCCAGUCCGGUGGCCUGCCGCCGCCGUUGGCCAGCGCGAUGGCCAUGAUGGCCGCCACCUCCAUCACCCACGACAGCGGGUUCCACAUGAACCCCAGGAAUUUGAGGAUCUCGCUCUCCUGCGCACGCCAUUGCCGUUAGAAACUUGCACGACGCAAUCUAUCUAGAAAUCCUAACGAAGAUGGUAUAAAUUUCAGCAACGAAAUCAAGAACUAAUUCGCUUCAAACAAUAUCCAUCUAAGAAGUAAUGAAUUACACCGAACCUUUUUCUCUUCGAGUUUGUUGGGGCCGAAGACGGCGAUGCGGUCCUGGCCAUCCUUGGAGGUGAGGCCUGCCGGGCUGCACUGGAGGUUCUCGAACACCUCCUCCACAGGGAUGUUCUCCUGCAAUGCACGCACAGAUUAGCCAAGAAAACGACUGGAUUCGCAUGCACUAACUGAAUUUCAUCUUCGGAUAGAGACGGCUAAUCAAUGGCGCUGAUAAGAGAUUAGAUGGGAAAAAGCGCGAGGUGGUUGUAGAUCACAAAAAGUGCAAAAAAAGAGGGAGAGAAACAAAGACGAUCGGUGUGGUGCCGCUCAACUCGCCCGUGAAGCCAACAAUAAAAGCACAGCCAGAUCGAUGCAUCUUGGGUUACAUGAACGAUCCGUGAAGUGAUAAUGGCAUAGAACAAGAUUGGAUCUACGCUUACAUCUUCUCCAUUUUAAUUAUCAUUAGUAGGUUUAGAAUUAUCAUUUAGCAGGUUUUCCUAAUGAUCUUUACACGAUGCAUAGAACAUGUAACAACUUAUAACAGAUAAAAACACGCAUAGAAAAGUUGGCAAGAACUCGCUUGCAUUAUACUGCAGGAAAACUAGCGAGGUUGGCUCACCAAGUCGACGGCCUCGUUCUUGAUCCGCUCCAGACCUUCGGCCGCCGCCGCCGCCAUCUUGCUCGCCGACGGGGAGCCCCGGAGGCCGCGGCGUCCAACUAUGCACGUACGUAUACGUAGUAUCCAAACCGAAGGUGGGGCUUUUGCCGAAGCAGCCGCGUUUGGUUUUAUAGCUGGAUGGAUGGAAGGACGGUGGGGGCGUCGUGUGGGCCACUCCGUCCUAUUCAAAUCAGCUACCACCAGAUUUACUCCUUAUCCCAUUCCCUCAAAAACGAAAAAAAAAAUUCCUUAUCUCUUCUUCUGCUUUUACUUUGUCGUUGUUGAUUGACGAUGUAAGUCUGGUUUAAUUUAAUAAAGUAAGCCAUGAUGUCAAUUCCUAAAAAAAUAAAGUUUAUUAAUAUUUUUCAGUUUGUGAAUAUUUUUUAAAUUUGAUACCUUUAUUUCAAAUUCGCAAACUUUUUGAAAUCUACGUUUAAAAAAUCAUGUUACUUUAAUUUGAGAAAACUUAAAUAUUUUGUAAAUGUGUGUACAUCUUUUGAUUUGAUGAACUUUUCAUAUAAUAAUACGGUAGCCGGCUUUUUAUGAGCUAGCAGUGGAGUGAGCGAAAAUAAAACCUGGGCGAGGGGAACUUUGUGGGCUGAUCCAUGUGAACAUAAUAGCAGCAAUUUACUAUUUCAGCGUGGAAUAUGAGCUCCCAAGAUGAUCUAGAAAAAGGCUUUCAAGAGGCUCACACAACAACCAUCGGCUCACACCAAGGCCGAAACAUGCAAAGACACUACAAUCACACAUCAUCCGAUUCCACUCUCUCAUUUCAGAACAAACAAUAUCUCUAACAACGGUUCAUCACGAUAUACGAAUGAAAAAAACAUGGUCAGAACAUAAAUUAAACCCAACCCAACACAGAUAAAAGAAAAAUACCGACCAUACUAACCCGUUAGAGAAAAAACGACAUCCCACCAAUGAAGAACGGGGCAGCAAAGCAUGGCUUAGCCUCCAGUGAUAAAGUAAACGUCAGUGAUCUUUGCUUCUUCAAAUGUGUAUCAAAGGCAACUUUGACGAGCAUGUCCUUGGUAAUAAAAGUGGCUCAUGGGAAGUUUCCUAAUUCGAGCCAUGCGUGUAUGCAUGCUGCUGGCCGGGCACCACACAGAGGCAAGGGAUAUACUCCAAAUGGACCAUAUAUAUUCACAUGUGUAGACGCUUUGCUUGUCCUCUCGUACAUACCCUUUAUUCUUAGCUCGGGUGCCCUAGCUACGUGCCUCUUGUCCAGCCACUUUGGCUGGCCAUCCCUUUCUUGUCGAAUCAUUCCUAGCUUGGUUAUUUGCAGUGCAAAGAGAAGCGAACAUCCAUACCAACACGCAAAGAUGGGUGCAUAGAUAAAAAAAAAACUAGUACGGACAUAGAUUCCAGCUUUCCGUUCCAUAAUCUAUUACUUGCUUUAUUAAAACGUUUUUCAAGCAUGCAUUUAUAGAUAUAAGAAUGUAUGCAGGGUUGUAGUGUAACACAGCUGCCGCGACAACGAGAGAGAAAGAAGAACAAGAGGAGGCUCGUUUUGACUCUGGGGUGCAUAUGCUCCCUAAUGAACAAUAAAUUCAAAAUAAAUAAUAAAUAAAAUUUAUAAUUCUGUUUUUCUGUAGAUGGUCUUGGUAGUGUAACAAGUCUGCUUGUCAAUUUUCAUGCGAAAUGGGUUGACGGUGCUUUGUCGGUGAAAAAAACAAAAAUAAAUGUAAAAUUUGAAGGUAACAUUUGUUGUUCGACAUUUUUUUUGCAGAUAUCAAAAUACUUAAGCUUUCCUGCCGACAAUUUGCAGGCAGCGUUUUGGUGUGACAAUGAACGCAUCUUUUUUUCAAUUUUUUUGAACAUAUGCAAAAAAAAACAUUUUUGGUGGGCAGAAGCAUAUGCUCUGAAGAGCCAAAUUGGAUUUCCAAAACAAGAGGUCUAUUAUUUGUCCGAUUAACAAUGAAUUCACACACAAGUUUUUUCUCUAGGGUUUGCUAGAGACGAGGCGACUAGGAGGCAACUAGCUCUUACAGCGAGAGGGUAGCACAACCCUGGAUCCUAGUGUCCCAGUUCGUUUCUCAUAAGUUCUUCGCCAUGGAUGAAGUUGGGCACUCACGACGAUGGGAAUAAGGGCAGCUUCAACGCUAUACCUCAAACCGCCCCUAAACAUUUGGACUGCGGUGCCCUGAUGUUUUUUUUUUGCCAUCCAACGCCGUGUCUCAAAUGUUUGAACGCCCAUGUCCGUGGGGCAGGAACGGGCGUCACCUUUUCGUUUGAUGAAGACAUCGCCUCAAGUCUUUGUUAAAGUCUUCUUGGUGAUGUUUAAAUUUGCUCAUUGCCUGUUUGAUUCAUCUUCCUGCUAAUAAAUACUAUCAAAGAUAUCUACCUUUUCUUGUUUUACUUGCUCAACAAUUUUACACUUUUCUUUUACCUUUCUGAAUUCAUUCAUGUCUUCAACAUGGUAAACUUUUUCUGAGAACUUAGUUGGUUCUUCAGUAUACCUUUCUUUGCUGCAAGCACCAUCGCAUGUGUUAGGAAGGUGACCGCCUCAUCCAAGUUCUUUGUUUCCCUCCAGAAAUCAGAGAACUUCAUGUUCAACUUCUCCAUUUCCUCUCCGAUGGCUAUGUUUUUUGUUCCUUCGCCCGACGCCUUGGUUUCGUUAAGGCUCGUCAUUGCUGAGAGGGCAUUUCCCGACUUAAGUGUUUUGGUGUUGAUGACAACGCAAUUUGCGGACUAACCGUGUGCCUAAGCUACCCAUGUAUUAUUAUACGACACAAGACGGUUGGACACCCCUCCAGAUGGAAAAGAGCGAAUACGGCAUUUUCGACGCAUUUUAUUUCUUUGGUUGUAGGAAAUCCAUACUAUUAAGAGGGGGUCCGCAUCGGAAGGUAGAGGUGGAUUCAAACAUGUACACAAAUACAUAUUGCACUCACGAUAUAGCCUUUCAUUUUGAGGAGAGACUCAACAUGGCACCCGCAGGGUUCGGGUGCAGGUAAUGCUCAACAAAACCCGCACCAAACCUGUACCUGUACCCGCACCCGCACCUUGGGUUUCAUAUUGUUCCCAUACCCGUACCCGGCCGGGUGCGAGUAAUACCCAUGGGUAAAAAUACACAUCUCCGUCACCUUUGAAUUCACAUUUUACCAUGUAUAAUUACAAUAUUUCUGUAUGUCAAACACAACAUUUAAGCAUGUAUAUGUAGCAUUUCAGGCGAGGCGAGAUGGGGAGAUGGGGUUUGUGUCCUGUAAGUGGGACGACACAAUGGGUGGGUGAGGGGAGGGGACUUUGUGUGCGGGUUGGGGCUGGGUUAGGCGAGGGUUUUCCCUUUACUAGUGAAUGACAUAGGGAACCUACCAACAAGAUGUACUAAUAUGCGGGUAGGCGGGUACAUGGGUAUGGGUAUUGCCUUCCCAUACCCAUACACGCCUUACCCGUUGGGUACAUUUUUUCCCAUUUAGAAACCCAUGGGUAUUUAACUUUCCCAAACACUUAUCCAACUAGGGUUUUUACCCGUCCGGUUCACGGGUAGCGGGUACCCAUUGCCAUAUGCAGGAGAGACCCUCAAGUCUAACUACCACAUGAGAUUGCACCCAAGCGAUCGUGACUCUGAGCUCCAGUUGUACCACUCCCUUAGCGGAUAGUGCACCUCGGAGCCCUGCUCUUGGCGGUUGUAUCGGCUACUAUGGCGGUUGUCCCGCUUAGUCCUUGAACGAUACUACCGACCCUAGUACCUCUCUAACUACCGCCGGAAGGGUGAUUUGUAGAUGUCUAGAGGGGGGGGGGGUGAUUAGACUACUUGACCAAAUAAAACCCAACAUUUCCCCAAUUUUAGUUGUAGGCGGAUUUUAGCAAUUCUACCAAGUCAAGUAUCACCCUACACAUGCAAUUCUAAGAAUGUAGCAGUGGAAAGUAAAACAUUGCACGUGUAAGUAAAGGAGGGGUUCGGAGAUUGCAAACGCAAUGAAGACACGAUGAUUUUUGGCGUGGUUCCGAUAGGUGGUGCUAUUGUAUGUCCAUGUUGAUGGAGACUUCAACCCAUGGAGGGUAACGGUUGCGGGAGUCCAUAGAGGGCUCCACCCACAAAGGGUCAACGAAGAAGUAACCUUGUAUAUUCCACUAUGGCUUACGUCCACGAAGGACUAGCCUCACUCGGGUAGAUCUUCACGAAGUAGGCGAUCUCCUUGCCCUUACAAACUCCUUGGUUCAACUCCACAUGAUCUUAGAGGCUCCAAUGUGACACCUAACCAACCUAGGAGACAACACUCUCCAAAAGGUAAUAGAUGUUGUGUUGGUGAUGAAAUCCUUGCUCUUGUGCUUCAAAUGAUAGUCUCCUCAACACUCAAUCUCUCUCUCACGGAUUUGGCUUGGGUAGGAUAAGGAUUAGAGUGGAAAGCAACUUAAAGAGGCUAGAAAUCAAGGUUCAGAUGGUAGGAAUGGAAUCUCUUGAUCUCAACACAUGAGCAGGUGGUUCUCUCAAAGAAAAUGAAUGGUGGAAGUUGUGUUUCGUCCUGAUGGCUCUCCCACUGAGUAAGAGGGGGUGGAGGGGUAUAAAUAGCCUCCAAUGAAAUCCAACCGUUACACACAUUUGACCAAACUCGCUGGCACCGACUGGAAUUCUCGGUGAUACCAACCUGUGCAAAAGAUAUGAACGUUGGAGGUCUUGAUGGGACCGAAUGGAUCAUCUCGGUGGGACCGAAGUGCAAUGGCAAAGGCAGAACCACGUCUCGGUAAUUCCGAUCAGUUUCACUCGGUGAUUCCGAAAUGAAGUGAUUUCAUCACAAAAACUUGGUCAGGCCAUCUUGGUGGGACCGAGAGCCAUUUCGGUCAGACCGAAAUGCUAGGGUAUUGGCUGUGGCAGUAGGAGGAUCAUCUCGGUGGGUCCGGAAUGGAAUGUAUCGGUGGGACCGACAUGAUGAAUUGGGGUUUCGGACAGAUGUGUUUUGGGAAAGUGUCUGACAGUUUUUGGAGCAAUUUUACUGAGCACUUUGAGCAACGACCUCAUCAACAAUACCUCACCCCCUUUUAAUAGUAUUGGCUUUCCUAAGGGACUCAAUGUGAUCUUGGAUCACUAAACCAAAAAUGUAGAGUCUUGGGGUAGCCAACUUUGUUCUUCACAUUUUGAGCGGUCCACAUCCAUUAGUACAUGCCAUGCCAAUCAUUGAUCUUUUCUGAAGUCUAUCAUCAAUGUUCAUUAGAUCAAUGACAUAUAUGUUGUUAUUAAUUACUAAAACCACCCGGGGAUUAGUUGCACUUUCAUGACUCCUCUCGGUGUGGGGCAGCGGUACACGACGGUGGCUGGAUGAUUGUUCCGGUUAUUUUCAUAAUAUUCCCCUAGCGGCAGUACUGCACGGGACUCAACUAGCCACUGGUGCAUGCUUGUGGGGGUGGUUGUAUCAUCGCAUGUACCACCCCAACUACCGCUUGAGGGUGAUUCCUCCCGGUUUGGUGGCACGAUACUGGGUAGUGGUGAAAGGACCACGAUGUUGCCUAGAGGGGGGGGUGAAUUAAAAGUCAUUUUUUUUAACUUCUAUGGAUUUGGCUUUAUCCUAAUGAGGAAAUAAACUAAGAGGAUACUUGCCAAGCACAAAUACUAAAUAUAUUAGGCUCAAUUAAGUGCAUCAGUGACUUAAUCUAAAAGAGAUGAGCACAACAAGGAUACUAACAAGCACAAGUAAGUUACACAAACUUACUUGAGCAAUAUCACAAGGGAAGUGUAUGACACAAAUUAGCAAUUCACAAUAAGCACAAGAUAUAUCAAUAGUAGCAAGUAUGAAUUGCAAAAUGUAAAGUGUAGGCCUAAAUAACCUCUACGAGGAAAUAGCCAAUACAAUAUAAUGAGGACAAUGAGAUAUAGUGAAUCCACGGUCAAGUGACCAAAGUAAACCACAAGUAGAGAAAUGGGGUUAGGGAUAACCGAAGUCACAGAGACAAGGAUGUAUCCCGAUGUUCACUUUCUUGGAGGGAAGCUAGUCACCGUUAGAGAGGUGGAUGUUACCAUAAAGGCACACCAACGCCAUGAAGGCUCACCCUAUUCUUCUUAAGAUAUCACCACGAAGGCGAUUCCCAACCACUAGUGAUAGACCUUGAGGCGGCCUCCAAACCUUCACAAACUUUUCAAGGGACAAAUAAAAAGUUGAUUCCUCACAGGAGUAGGAGUCUCCAACCUCCAAGAGUAACUAGAUCAAGCGGGAAAUACUCAAGACAUUCUCAAAUCACGAAUUGCUUCGGUCAAAAGCAAGAGAAGGAUUGGAUCUAUGCUUGGGUGAAAUCUCUCUCAAUAACUCUCACAAAUCUCUCCGGGAUCUAAGAUUUGAAGUAGGAGAAAGGAGAGGGAGCUUUUCUUAGAUGUGGGUCGAUAUUUGUGUUGCUCAACCCCUUCACGAAGUGGUGAAGGGGUAUAUAUAGGCUAGUAGGAAAACUGGUCAUUUGUCAUGUUUUUCUGUAAGUGCCCGGAUGUACGGGUAGCAACCCGGAUGAUAUGGGUAGGGACCCGGAUGAUCUGGCCAGGUCAACUUAGCACAGCCGUGUAGNNNNNNNNNNNNNNNNNNNNNNNNNNNNNNNNNNNNNNNNNNNNNNNNNNNNNNNNNNNNNNNNNNNNNNNNNNNNNNNNNNNNNNNNNNNNNNNNNNNNNNNNNNNNNNNNNNNNNNNNNNNNNNNNNNNNNNNNNNNNNNNNNNNNNNNNNNNNNNNNNNNNNNNNNNNNNNNNNNNNNNNNNNNNNNAUGCCCGGACGAUCCGACUACUUGUCUGGAAAAUAAUAUAUUUUUGUAGCUCUAUUUUAUUAGCAACUGAAUAUAUAGCUCAUGUUCAUGUCAUGUGCAACACACCCGAGUAUGGUGUUAAGCAUGUCUUUGUACAACGGACUUCUUUGAUGAAUCACACUCUCUUUCCUGGUAAUUAUGUGAUGUAUCAAGUGACCUGCUAUUUUACUCUUAUUUGUACAUGAUUCCCUAUUAAACCCUGAAUAUCAAUGGAUUGGUUAUUCGUUUGCUUGUGUUAUGGAUUUUCAAUCAGUUUUGUGUAUAUAUAGAUAUGCAAGCUUCGGAUACAUAAUAUGUAGUUUGUAAAAUUAGGAUGCUAUUGCUUGGGCUGACACGCCUUAUACUGAUAUUAUUAGUUUGUAGUUGAGUUCUCAUCUGCCAAUGUAGUAGAUAUUUUUUAGCUUUAUGAAUUUUCAGAACAGUUAUGUGUAUAUUUACUGUAAUAAACCGCUAUCCAACACCCCCAUUUUUAUUUUUUUAGACCCAUUUUUUCAGAAGCCCACUAACAACAAGUUUUUACAGAAAUUCAUGCAUGUGUACCACUGUAGUAGUAGCCAAAAGUGUCUUGAUUCUCUGUAAAAAAAUAUAUUUUAGUGUUUUCCUUCAAUUCCCUUUUUUAUUCAGAAAGGAGAUUUUUUUGGACUUCACAAAUGACAGUGCUCAUGAUGUUAGACUAGAACUUUUACAGAAUUUAAUUUCUUUUCUUCAGACUAUAAACAACACUACACAGGAAAUCCACAAAUCAACUACUCAUGCAAGGGAGAAUCAGGUUUUUUUGUUGUUGUUGUUUGAUUCGAAUUGUUUACUACUGCAUGAAUGGGUGUAUAGACCUAACUUCUACUCCCUCUGUUCCUAAAUAUAAGUCCUUUAGAGAUUUUAAUAUGAACUACUCCCUCUGUAAAAAAAUAUAAGAGCGUUUAGAUCACUAAAGUAUUGGUCUAAACGCUCUUAUAUUUCUUUAUAGAGGGAGUACAUACGGAGCAAAAUGAGUGAAUCUAUACUCUAAAAUAUGUCUAUAUACAUCUAUAUGUAGUCCGUAUUGAAAUCUCUAAAAAGACUUAUAUUUAAAAACAGAGGAAGUAAUUGAGAGGAGGGGGUUGGGGAUCUGCUUACGGUGGAGAACUAGAUGUAGCAAGUAAUGAAGCAAAUGGGUUAGGAGUGAGAAAGUAGGUAGUGGCUAAGAGCAUCUCUAGCAGACCCCGCAUCCCGCCGGCCGGCAAAACGCGUUUGCAGUUCGCGGAAAACGGCCUUUGCGGCCGACGCGGAUGGCCGCAGAUGUAGACCCGCCAAACGGACCCGUAUAAAAGUAUACUCGCGGAAUAUGCGUUUUUACGGGUCGGCUUUGCGGGGUCUGCUCUUGCACCGCUGCAUCCCGCAUCCCACCGGCCCGCAAAUAUCAAAUCCACAGCACAAAAAUAAAAAUAAACAUCCACACUACAAAGUUGAAAGUGGGUGUUUGCAUUUUCAAUCUCUUUGUAGGUCUUCAGAAAAGCUCUAAUGCGGUUAGGGUCUCUAGCUGGUUUGACACGGCUACCCACAUUGUCGUAGAAGAACUCCAAGUUCGUUCCUCUCUCAUCUUCGAGAAUCAUAUUGCGAAGGAUAACACAACAUGUCAUGAUAUUUUCAAGGUCCUCUUAUCCCAAAAACGAGCAGGACCACGAACAAUGGCAAACCUAGAUUGAAAACCCCAGAUGCUCUUUCAAUGUCUUUUCGGCUGCCUCUUGCACCCUUGCAAAUUCACAAUGUCUUCUAGUUUUGGGAUCUUUGAUGCUCAUGACAAAGGUGCACCAGGGAGGGUAUAUACCAUCUGCAAGAUAGUACCCUUUUGUGUAUUCGUGCCCAUUGAUAGUGUAGUUGCAAGCAGGAGCAUCACCACUAGCAAGCCUAGCAAACAAAUGAGACUGUUGCAACACAUUGAUAUCAUUGAGAGUGCCCGACAUACCAAAGAAGCAAUGCCAAAUCCAUAAAUCCUCGGAUGAUACAACCUCUAGCACAAUUGUUGCACCACCAGACUUGCCACAAUACAUUCCUUGCCAUGCCUUUGGGCAAUUUUUCCAAGUCCAAUGCAUACAAUCAAUGCUACCUAGCAUGCUAGGGCAACCUCUCCUCUCAUUAGAUGCCAUCAAUUUGUUUGUGUCAUCCUCGUUGGGUGCCCGAAGAUACUCAGGACCAAAGACACGGAUGAUCACUUUUGCAAAUCUACGCACUGACUCAAUUGUGUAUCUUCACCAAUGCGAAGGUACUCAUCGGUAUAGUCAGCCGGAACGCCAUAUGCAAUCACCCGCAUAGCUGCGGAGAUUUCUUUUGAUAUGCACUAAAUCCCUUUAAGCCCGCAGCAUUUCUUCUUUGAGUAAAAUACCGACAAUUUGCUUCGCAAGCUUGAACAAUUUUCACAAAGAGGGAUCGGCGCAUUCGGUACCUUCUCCGGAAGAGGUGCGGUGGAUAUGUUGGAUUCUCCGCGAAGUAGUCUUGCAUCAAAAUCUCGUUCCCAAGAUGGCGAUUUCGAGGAAUGCAAAGACGCCCGACGGUCGAUCCUCGCCGCCUCUUCCGGUUUUCAUCUUCGUGCUCCUUCACGGCAAGUGCCAUCACUAAUGUCUGCUGCCGAAAGGUCGCAAGCAUGGUCUCAACAUCCGAGUCGUCAGAAUCGGAGAGCAAGAACUUCUCGCACGGGCUCAAUUCCAUCUACAUGGACAAGAAUCGCACGCCGCAUCAAUCAACUAGGCAUACCGCUCGCAAAUAUCACAAGACAAACACUAACCGGUGGCUCGUGUGGCGGGUGAUCCCGGGCGGCGACGAGGAACGGGCUGGACGACGGUCGAUCCCCGGCGGCGACAGCGACGAGGGGCAGCUCUUCUCGCCGGAUCCAGGGGGUCGGUGCAGCGUAUCAGUGCUGGAGGGUGGGGGACGGCCCCGCAGCACGAUUCCGCCCGCAGAUUUGGCCGGAAUCACCGGCGGCGGACGGGUGGAACCAAAGGCGGGCGGGCGGCGGAAGGAGAUGGGAAAAGGCGAGCGGGCUGAAAUGUCCCUCCCGCCAACCGCUUCACUGGGAUGCGGGGCACCGCAGGGGCGAGAGGGAAACCCGCGUAUUCGCGGGUUGGGGCCGAGAUUUUGCCGCGCCCCUAAAAAAAUUUCGCGGGCCGGCCGCGUUUGCGGGGUCUGUUCAGGCGGGAUUUUCCGCUGUUAGACUAUUAAUUGGCUCUCAAGUUAUCAAGUCCUAGUCGUAUUGUAAUAGGUCUAGUUGGCUUGUAAUCUCUUAUAUAUACCGCUCUAUGCGGCUAGCAAUAAUCAUUAAUAAUAGUUCUAUUCAAUCUUACAUGGUAUCUUAGGGUUUCUGGUCCCAGGGUAUGGCUCCGCCGCCCACCCCACCACCGCUGCCGCCGCCCGGCUACUUCGAGCGCCGGGCCGCUAUCCUCGCCCGCGCCGCCGCCGCGGCUUCCUCCUCCUCUGCCUUAGUUCUACCACAACCACCACCUAUGCCUCCGGUGCUCUCCUUCACCGAUACAAUCUCCGAUAUUAGUCCCUAUAUCCCCAUUACCCUCGAUCUCACCUCCCACAACUACUACCAUUGGCGCCACCUCUUUGAGGUUCACCUCGGGCGCUGCAAUCUUCGCUCCCACGUCGACGCCACCGCCGUGCCGCAAUCCCAUGAUCCCCAAUGGGUCAAGGAUGACCUCGCUAUCAUCCAAUGGAUCUACAUGCGCGUCUCCACCGAGAUCUUCAAUCUCAUCUUCCGGGAAGCCGCCACCGCCACCGGUCUCUGGGCGGCCCUUCAGCAGUUGUUUCAAGACAACGUCGAUGCUCGCACCAAUCUACUCCACACCGAGCUCAGGAAUACGGUGCAAGGCGACUCCUCCCUCAGUGUCUACUGCCAACGCCUCAGGUCCAUCGCCGACGAACUACGUGAACUUGGUGAUCCCGUUGAAGACCGGCAGCUUAUCAACAUCCUCCUCAUCGGGCUCAGCGAACAGUUCGACAAGCAGGCUUCUUUCAUACCAAUGAUGCGGCCCCAGCCAACCUUUGCCGAGGUGCGCUCUAUCCUCCAGUGGGCCGACCGUGCUCAAACCAACAAGGACGCUCGCCCUCAGCUCUUCGCCGCCGUUCCGCGCGGUCCGGCACCCGCGGCGCCACCCGCGGGGUCCCCUUCACCAGCGGUGCCUUCCUCCUCGACCGCGCCCGCUCCACCGCCAGGCUGGCGUCCCAGCCCUAAUUAUCGUGGUAAGAACCCAUCUACCGACCGCCUACGACGCGUUCGGCGCCCACUCCUUCACCGUCGCGGCCCCAAGUGCGCCACCAGUAGCUACGCCACCAACCGCUACGCCUUGGCGUCCUCCACAUGAUCCCUGGACGGGGCUCGUCCAAGCUUGGCCCAUGCCAUGGUCAGCUCCGGCUCCCCUCGGUGCUCCACCGGCUUACACCGGUGCCUGGCAGCCUGGCGUGCGGCCCCAUAUUGGUGCCCCAGGACUCGUCACGCCUCGCCAGCCGACUCACACCUACCAUGCUGCUCCAUCAUAUGGCGCUCCCUACUAUGCUGACGGAGGCCACUACUACACCCCACCAUUGGCUCUACUGCCAUCACCGUCGUACCAGCCGGCUCUGCUGCCAUCGCCUCCACCAUCGGCUCUACUGCCCUCGCCGUCGUACCAGUCGGCAUUGCUGCCAACACUGACAUCUGUUACACCACCAAGCUGGGACCAAGCCGCCUUCAUCCUGGCCAUGAACAAUUUUGACUCCCAAGGAAACACAGGUACGGAUUGGAUUUUCGAUUCCGGUGCUUCUAGUCAUAUGUCUGCAUCUAGUACGUUUCUCUCCUCUUGCACUUCACCACUUUUUAAAUCCAUCACCCUCGGUGACGGUUCUUCUAUACCCAUCUAUUGUGUUGGUCAGGCUCAACUUCCCUCCACCACCAAAACUCUUCUUCUUCGUGAUGUUUUUGUUGCUCCUGCCCUUAUCAAAAAUUUAAUCUCUGUUCGUCAAUUCACAUGUGAUAAUCUUGUUUCUGUCAAAUUUGACCCCUUUGGCUUAUAUGUGAAGGAUUAUCAGACCAUGGUCGAGAUCGCGCGGUUCAAUAGCUCCGGUGACUUAUACUUUCUCAAUGGUGUUCCUGCCGUUGCAUCUCCAACCUCCAUGAUGGCAUCUGUUGAUCUCUGGCAUCGGCGUCUAGGGCAUCCCAACCCUGCAGUUUUAGCAUCUGUCCUUAGUGAAUUUACUAUACCUUGUAAUAGAGAUUCUCACGAUUCCUCCGUUUGUGAGUCAUGCCAAUUAGGCAAGCAUGUGCGUCUUCCUUUUAGUUCGUCUGGCUCUUCAAGCACUUAUCCCUUUGAAUUAAUACAUUGUGAUCUCUAGGCAUCGCCUAUUGCUAGUGUCUCUAGUUUUAAAUACUAUCUUGUCAUAUUAGAUGAUUUUCCACACUUUGUCUGGACCUUUCCUCUCCGCAACAAAUCCGACGUUCAUGCUCUCUUUCUCAAUUUUCAGCGAUACGUCUCCGUGCACUUCUUUCUCCCUAUUCGCUUCAUACAAUGUGAUAAUGGUCGUGAAUUUGAUAAUGUUAAAAAUUGUACAUUCUUUCUUAACCACGGCAUUCUUCUCCAUUUUUCUUGUCCCUACACUUCUCCUAAAAAUGGAAAAGCUGAACGUUCUCUUCGUACUAUAAAUGAUAUUACUCGUACCCUUCUUCAAUCUUCCAUGCCUUCCCAAUACUGGGCUGAGGCUCUCCACACCGCUACAUAUCUUCUCAAUAUCCGUCCUACCAAAGCCAAUCCCAACAUCACCCCCUACUUUUCUCUGUUUCUGUGUCAUCCAAACUACUCCGACAUUCGUGUUUUCGGUUACCUCUGUUUUCCUAACACUUCCGCUACCACCGCUCAUAAGCUCUCUCCCCGCUCUGUCCUGUGUGUUCUCCUUGGUUUUUCGGAUGAACACAAAGGCUAUCGCUGCCUUGACUUUUACACCGGUCGGGUUCUUGUAUCUCGGCAUGUCACCUUUGCCGAACACAUCUUUCCAUUUUCUCAACGUACUUCUCCAUGACACCCCCCCUACUUCCCCACCUAACCAUCCUCCUACUCGUUUCCCUUUUUAUGCUCCUCUCCUGACAUCUCAAUCUCCAAAUAUCUCUUCACCACCAUCCUAGCCAAACGCCCCUACACCACCGACACCCAAUCAUAACCCUCCACCUUCGCCACCUGCAUCCUCGCCCAUACAUACCGAUGCGCCACCAUCCCCUCCCGCACCAUCCCCUCCAGAAUCAUCACCCACACACACUGAUUCCCCACCAUCCCCUCCAUUGUCCGCACCAUCCGCUGUGCCGGACAUCCAUGUCGCUCCCCUUCCCAUUCGCGCUGUUCCCACUAUUCCCUCAGUCAAUGACCAUUCCAUGCGCACUCCUUCAAAAUCAGGUUUUCGUUAACCCAUAGAUCGUCUCAACCUUCACGCCACCCUGUCCUUAUCUCAAGUUCCCAAAUCUUACAAAACUGCGCUUCUUGAUCCUAAUUGGGCUGCAGCUAUGCAAGAAGAAUAUUCAGCCCUUACUGAAAAUAAUACUUGGCAGCUUGUUCCUCGUCCUUCCAACACCAACAUUGUCUCUGGUAAGUGGGUGUUUCGUCAGAAGUUUCACUCUGAUGGUACUCUUUCUUGCUACAAAGCUCAUUGGGUAUGUCGCGGCUAUUCCCAACAACAUGGCAUUGAUUACGAUGAAACUUUCUCUCCUGUAGUUAAGCCUAGUACCAUACACACUGUUCUCAGCCUUGCUCUCUCCUCCACCUGGCCUAUUCACCAAUUAGACGUAAAAAAUGACUUUCUUCAUGGUUCUCUCCAAGAGAUCGUCUACUGUCAACAACCUCUCGGUUUUGAAGACCCUUCUUAUCCCAACCAUGUUUGUCUUCUUCAAGAAUCUCUCUAUGAUCUCAAACAAGCUCCACGUGCAUGGUUUCAACGCUUCUCUUCCUUUAUUCAAACCAUAGGUUUUGUUUCCUCUCUUUCUGACGCUUCUCUCUUUGUCUAUCAUCAUAAUUCUGACAUUGCAUACUUACUUCUUUAUGUUGACGAUAUCAUUCUCACCGCUUCUUCUCAAACCUUUUUGGACCGCAUCAUUACUCAUCUCCGCUCUGAGUUUUCUAUGACAGAUCUUGGUCUUCUUCAUCAUUUUUUAGGCAUUGCAGUGAUUCAUGAUUCAUCAGGUCUUUUUCUUUCCCAACGUCAAUACAUCCUAGAUCUUCUCAACCGUGCUGGUAUGCUAGACUGUCAUCCUUCCCAUACUCCUGUCGACACUAGUUUCAAACUUUCUGCCAAUGGUGAUCCUUUCAAUGAUCCUACUCUUUAUCGUAGUCUUGCUGGUGCUCUUCAGUAUCUUACCAUUACUCGUCCUGAAAUUUCUUUUGCUGUCCAACAAGUUUGUCUCUAUAUGCAUGAUCCUCGCAUACCUCACUAUAAUCAUAUCAAGCGCAUCCUUCGGUAUCUAAAAGGUACUCUCGAUCAUGGUCUCCACAUAAACAAUUCUUCCCCUACCUCUCUCACCGCGUAUUCUGAUGCAGACUGGGCUGGUUGUCCCGACACUCGACGAUCUACAUCCAGUUUCUAUGUUUUUCUUGGUGACAAUUUGAUUUCUUGGUCCUCAAAAAGGCAGGUAACGGUCUCCCGCUCAUCCGCUGAAGCAGAAUAUCGUGCGGUUGCACAUGCUGUGGCUGAUACGGUCUGGCUUCGUCAGUUGCUCUCGGAGUUGCAUCAACCGCUUGCACAUGCUACCAUUGUUUAUUGUGAUAACAUCUCAGCUGUUUACAUGUCCGGGAAUCCUGUUCAACAUCGCCGGACUAAACAUAUUGAGAUUGAUAUCCAUUUUGUUCGCGAGAAGGUGGCUCUUGGACAAGUUCGGGUGCUGCAUGUUCCUUCUACGGCUCAAUUUGCUGAUAUAUUUACCAAGGGACUGCCAUCAACAUCCUUUUGUAAUAUUCCAUCCAGUCUCAACGUUGUCGAGCCUCCCGUUGAUACUGUGGGGGAUGUUAGACUAUUACUUGGCUCUCAAGUUAUCUAGUCCUAGUCGUAUUGUAAUAGGUCUAGUUGGCUUGUAAUCUCUUAUAUAUACCGCUCUAUGCGGCUAGUAAUAAUCAUCAAUAAUAGUUCUAUUCAAUCUUACAUCCACGCCGACCCGCAUUUUGGCGGUUAUUUUGCGGGUCGGGGCUUUUCGCGGGGUCUAUUAGAGUUGCUCUAAGAGGGGUGGGAGUUGCCGGGUUGGACGGGGGGUGCGAGUCACCACAAAGAGCACAGACGAGCAAAAAAAACAAAUAAUCAAAGAGUUCUGCGUGGGGUUUGUUUUCUAAUGAGGUGGGCUGAUGUCAUACUUAUUAUUUAUAACACACUAUUAGAAUUUACAUAUAUUCUAUAAAUUUCUGGAAUAAAAGAGUGCAAAAUGGGAUGUAGGGACUGCAACCCAGUUAAUAGUCAAAGAAUAUAUAGCAGCAGCACCCAGUUAUUACAUAAAUUGCCUGAGGGUCAGGUGGUUAGCGUUGCGCUGCUACUAUUCACACGUCUGUACGCGUCCUUGCGCAUGCCAGUUUUUCAUUUAUUUGUGGGAGGCUGACAAGUGGACCCUUGCAGCGGUGGCAUAGUAUGUUUCGUGAGAUUUUUUUUUAUGUUUUUAUGCAAAAUAGCAGAUAGUAUUUUUCGUGAGGAUUUUUUUGCAAAAUAGCUGGCUACACGUCCACUUUGUCGUCCAGUCACUGACAGCAGGCCCCAUGCCAUGUUGGCAUGCGUAAUCAGCACUCUGUUCGUAUAGAAACAUGAUUUGCACCGUAUAUGCACGUUAAAGACAAGUUGUGGCACCAGUUCAAUGUAUGCCACAAGUUUUAGCUCUAAACUGACUUUUCGCGCCAAGUUAUGACAUUAGCGGUGUAAUUGACUCCUAGAUGUGACAUAUUUAGACACAUCCAUAAUAAAUACUUCCUCCGUAAAGAAAUAUAAGAGCAUUUAGAUCAUUAAAAGUAGCGAUCUAAACGCUCUUAUAUUUCUUUACAGAGGGAGUACCAACACUUUCAUCCACAGUAGCCCAUCUAUCUAACCGAUGUUCUUGUCAUCCUCCUUCCUGAGAAGAUGGAUUGCAAAAUAAGUUGGGCCAUCCUCCUUCCUGAGAAGAUGGAUUGCAAGUCUCCGAGUGACUUUGGCUCAAAUAAAUACUACCUCCGUACCAAAAUAUAAGAUGUUUUAGAGUCCAAUUUAAACUGCAAAAAAUGUCUUAUAUUUUGGUACGGAGACAGUACAUUUGAAGACAGAGUGACACAUCACAAUGAGAACUAGAUUCCUCCCCUUGAUUUCCUAGUACAGUGUAAGAAAAUAGCAGCAUAAUCAUAUCAUCUUAGCUGCACAACAAACAAGCUGCACAAACAAAUUCCUUCCCUUCAUUUCCUUGUGCCCGACUGGUUCCAUUCAUGCCACAUGGGGAAGGCAUACAGCAACAUCACAAUCUCUGACAGUCAUAAUUAACCUACUGAUUGUGCAGAAAUCAAAUGUUUAUUACUGCUCUUGCUACCUUACCUGACAGCCGCACCGAUCAUUGUCAGAUCAAGCCACGCAAAAUAAACUCCAUGUUAAUUUUAGAUGACCACAGUACGGACAGUCAUAGUCACAAGUACCCUAUUGGUGAUCAACCUGUGGUCAACUGUCCAGUACGUCACAGCAUAACCUCAAUCAGCAUCAUCCCCAGUCCUUGAUACUCCAGCCUGACCUCCAGCAUUCGCAUCAUCAUUAGUUCUCUCGACGUGGGGGCUACCUAUGGGCUCUUCAGCCUGCAACGUCUCCUCACCUUGUUCCAACAUCUCCUUCUCAUCAUCUUCCUGAGUACCUGCCCAAAUUAUGCAAUACAUAGCCAGAGAUGUAAAUAUGUAAAAAUAAAGAGAUGAGUCAUAAAAGAACUUAAGAGACAUAAAAAGUAAUGGUAGCUUCGUGUUGCACGAAUUGAAAUUUUACCACAUAAGUGGACAACAUAAGUCCCGCUUUUGACUGGAAUAAGGUGAAACAGACCAAAGACGAAGUGUGGUAGCAGUGUCCUUUAACUUGUAUGCCUUCUACAUCAGGUAGCCCGUAAAUAUAAAAAUAAUUAUCGUGAUCUAGUGUUUUUUACGAUUUCAAGAUGCCUCCAAGAUGCUACUUGUACUGAGCACAAACUUUUAUUUUACUUCUCUGAUCACCUUAGAGUUUUGCAACUACAACAAAAUAAUAAAAAAACAC
rnacentral:lncRNA from 1 species